AUGGAUUUCGUGGAUGGAAGGUGGGGAAACUUGGGGAAAUGCUAGAUCCACUUGAAACCAUGCAAAUCCAUGGAUCAAAAUCAACAAAACAUCAUCAAACCAACAAAUCACAAAAAAAAAUUGGGGCUAUUUUUGGUGGGGAUUUUCGGAUUUAGGACGAAAACAACAAAAUCAAGCUAGAAAAAGGGGGCAGGGGCUCCAAAAACGUGAUCAACAUGGCUCAUGAUACCAUAUGAUGUAGGGUGGAACCCUAUAGCGUCGAUCUUUCACGUUUGGAGUGGAUCCUACGGGGAAUCACGAAGAACACGCGGAAGCACAAAGGGAAACUCGGGGGAAAAUGAGAGGGAAUCACUCAACCAACAAGGAAUCGAUCACACAAGUGCUAGAUCAUCGAAUACAUAGAGUAACAUAUGAUCCACAAUCAACAAAGGGAAAGGAUACAACGGAAUCGUUCUUCUCCAAGAGGAGGCCUUGAUGUUCUUCCCUAAAGAGGGGUCUUGAAUCCGCUUGGGGAUCUUCUCCGGAGAGGUCCUGAUCUCCGAGGAGAAGUAUCCAAGUGGAUGAGCAAAGGCUCUCACACAAAUAUGAGCUAAUCCAAUGCUGAGUCUCAAAGUGAGGAGGAGGAGUCCUAUAUAUAGGCUAGGGGGCGAAGGGGUACAUGGGCUCAGCCCAAGUCGCGCACACAGGCGGGGUCCGGAUGAUCCAGAUGGUGGCCCGGAUGAUCCGGGUGUCGGGGGUCCGGAUGAUCCGGGUGACCGUCCGGAUGAUCCGGCUUCGUCGAGCAGCUUCGGGUGUCUUCGGGCGCGUUAGCCGGAUCGUCCGGCUGGGUGUCCGGAUGAUCCGGGCAAGUCCAGUCUUGCUCCAUUCUUCUUCUUCCUUCUCCUCUUCCAUGCUUGGCCUUGAUCCUUGGAUUCUCCAUGGUCAUCUUGGUUGUACCUGAGUGUAUGCAAGGUCCAUGCAUGAGGUAGUAGUCGUGUCUCAUAUGCGGAAAGUGACGGUUCGAAGAGGAGUGAAUUCACCUUGUGUCCAAUGGCGCAUAGUCGAGGUCUCAUCUUAUGUGUCCUUAGGGCUUGGGGAGUAGUCGGAGUGUACAUGGGGAUGAACGUGGGAUGCUCCGCAUCAGUUAGUUCGUGCCAAUGCUUGUCGAUCCUGCACUUCACGUUUAGCUUUACAAGCAAGAUGGAAUAAACGAGUGAUAUUAGUAUACUCCUUAUAGUCUAGAAUGGUCUGAAUCUCUCUAUUUAAUCCACCCAGAAAAUGUGCAAGCAUAGCUUCAUUCUCCUCAAUAAUACCACAUCUAAUCAUGCCAGUUUGUAAUUCCUGAUAAUAUUCUUCUACAAAAAAUUUUCCUUGUCUUAAGCGCUGUAAUUUUUGAAGCAAUUCACGUUGAUAAUAUGGUGGAACCCAACGAGUACGCAUAGCAGUUUUCAAAGCAGCCCAAGUAGUUGGAAUAGGAUAUAAUCUACAAUGUUCAGACCACCAUACACAUGCAAAACUAGUGAAAGCACAAACAGCAGCGGCAACCCGUCUCUCCUCGGGAUAUUGUAAACAUGUAAAUCGUUGUUCAGUUUCUAACUCCCAAGUAAGAUAUAUAUCAGGAACAUAUCUACCCUCGAAAGGUGGAAUAUUCAAUUUCAGUUUAGGAAGAUGGUCAUGAUCUCGUACCUGAGAGAAAGCCCUACCAUUGUGAUUAUUUGCAUGUGGACGACCUGGUGGUUGUGGUGCAGGUGGUUGCACGUAGUUCUGAUUUUGAGCAACCUCAUCCUCGUAAUCUCCCACAUAAUCAUCCUCCUCCGCAUCAGCAGCAGGAGCCACAGAAGUAUCAACAACAGCACCAACAAUUUGGCCAAACGCAAGAGGAACACGGCUCGCUCGGCGGAGGUCUGUUUCGCGACGUGGAGGUAGUUGUUGUUGUUGGUGUUGGAGAGGUGCGUUAGGUGCAGCGGGUGGUGGUGGUGGAAGAAGCGCGAGCAAUUCAUUAAACUUGUUAUCGAGCUUUGUUUCGAACGUCUUCUCCAUGCCAUCUAUCUUCUCCAUGGCCUCUUCAAAUCUGUUUAGCACAUCUUGCACCUGUCCACUCAUCAUUUGCUGAAAUUUAUCAUGCAAAUCCUUAUUCGUCAUGUUCUCCCAGUCAGUCUCGUCGGCUUGUGAUCCUGGCAUGGUUAGCAACAAUAGAAACACACAAGAAUAUGAUCCUAUAGACUACUAACAAGAGGUGGUGGUGGGUGUCUAAUAGAGGCGAGGGUCCCGAUCUUUCGAUGAGAUGAUAACUAUCGAUUUGGUGGAAACGACUUUGACGAUCCGACUACAAACGUGGACGACAUUGCGCCUUAGCAACCGCUAAACCAAUCUCCUGAGGUUACUGACGAUGCUGGAAGCACGGUCAGCCUGACCACGAAGGUCUAUUCCUGCAAGCAAUCGAAGAACGAGCAAGAAUAUGAUAAAGCAAUCUGAAUAUUGCAAAUAUAUAUGAAGUAUUGAUAAUGGUGGGGAUCCGGAAGCGGUCUUGGUCUGGUCGUUGGACACAAACGAAGUACACGAAGUUGCAAUGGCUAACUUUUAACUAAACAAAUCCCAAGGAAAAGCUACUAGAUGGAUCUACUUAUAUAGGAGCAAGGGGUGGCGGCCAAGGAGGUGGGAGGACGUCCCAAGGCAGCCUAAAACUAAAUCUAGGUCGUACAAGGCCAAUGGGCCCAAGUGGAGGUGAUGUAACACCUUUGGACUUGUAGUUUGGCUCGGAUUCUGCUGCAGCAUCAGAUUGUUUCGUUCACAACUCAACGCUCCGGAAGAAUUUGAAGGUGAUUCCAAUUGGGUUGGAAAGUGCACGAAAUCUAGUUUCCAACAAAAAAAGAAUCACCCAAUUCGGAGUCCGUAUGAAAAACUUGUGUGCGUUUUGAGUCAGGUAUGUCUGUGCAGUCCGAAUCUGAAUCCAGAACGUGAGAGACUUGGACUCUAUCUUCUCUUGGGCCAAAAGUGACGUGAGAGAACUUUUUGGACAGCAAAUAAACAUCUCUUUCUUCCUUAUCUUCAUAUGUGGAUUGUACAAAUGUCCCAUACACCUGCAAUUAGACAAAACACAAAAGUGUGUGAAGUAUUUUUGUUCUGGAUAACAUAAAUAGAUUAUUGAAUAGUUUGCACUAGAAAUCACCUGACAAAUAUGCAUAUAUGCAAUAUUUUUGGUCAUAUCCAAGGUAGUCAUGUCCUCAUCAUCCUCCCCUUCUUGAAAAUAAAGCCGUCCUCGGCGUUGCUUAAUCUGAAAUGUGGCUAACAAAAGAGACAAGGUGUACAUAUUGUAUAUGUAUAUGUCAUCCAUUUUUACUUCCCUUGAUUUUUGCAUAUAUGAAACAUGAAUAGAUGAGUAACUUGCAUAGUUCAUAAAAUCUAAAUCCAAAAAAUUAGCACAAGAAGUAGAAGGCAUGAAAAUAUUGCAACUCAGUUUGCACAUAUAAGUGAAGCUCUUAUUCAUUUCAAAAGAUUGACAAUGUUCAUCAUUAAACCAUCCCAACAUUGGUGAAUAAACCUUACUUGCAUCAAAUUUACAUGCUACAACAUGCUUAAAUAAGCAAACAUGCAAUAAGUCAUUCAACACAGAAUCAUCACCAAGAUUAGAGGUCAUAUCAAAAUGAUUAAACAUUGGUUCUUUUGCAUCAAUAGUUAAUUCAAUGGGUGCAUUCAAAAUUGUUGGUAUUUCAGUUGUUUGAUCACAUGGCAAAGUUAAAUUAUCAACGUAGUCCUCUAAAAUAGGUGGUGUGAUCAAAGUAGUGGGUAGCUCAUCAGAUGGUGCAUUCAAAUUGACAAGGCAUUCAUCAUUCUCAUGUAGAGAUGGAAGAUCAGUACCUUUGUCAUUACCUCUUAUGAUCAACUCAGAUGAUGUAGCCACUCUCGGAGGCGAUGUGUCACAUGGUGGAGGUGAUGUAGUCCUGACAACAACGGAUGUGGUUGUCAUAGUAUGCCUAGUAGUUGAAGGAACAAUCAUAUCAACUCUUGGAAUGUGCACCGUGCGCUUGUUCUCCUCGUGGCCAACACGUCGUUUUAUUUCCUGUUCAGCUUUGCAAGCAAGAUGAAAUAAAUGGUCCAUAGGAUAACACUCUUCAUGAAUUAGUAUCUCUUGAAUAUCACGGUUUAAUCCUCCCCAAAAUCUAUCCAUAAAAUCAUCUUCACUUUCUUUUAAAGAGGAAUGCAACAAGGUAGUUUGUAAAUCAUCAUAAUAUUUUGUUACAGUUUCACUACCUUGUUUUAAGUGUUGCAACUUCUUAAUCAUGUCACGAGUAUAAUAAGCAGGGACGAAAGUAUGUCGCAUGGCAAGUUUCAAAUCAUCCCAAGUAGUAGGAAUAUAAUCAGGGUGUAACCGACAAUAUUCACUCCACCAAACCAAAGCAUAACCAGUGAAAGAACCAACCGCAACCUUAACCUUUUUAUGUUCAUCGAAAUUAUGGGAAGCAAAUAUAUUUUUUAUGUCGAACUCCCAUUCAAUAUAUAAAGCAGGUUUAAAACGGCCAUUAAAUGGUGGUAUAGAUACAUUAACCUGAUCAUGUGCAUUUGGAUGUUUGUGCACCUCUCGUGACGGUUGUGGUAUUUGCAAAGGUGGUGGCACGUCUCCCGCGAUCGACAAAGCCCAUGAAUGGACUCUGGAUCCUGUCAUGAUUAGUAGAACAAGAAACAAAACCCAAAAAUAAUGUUCCUAUAACUACUAGGAUGUGGUGGUAAAACGCUCACAGUAAAGCAAAUACCAAUGUCUUACAAGUUCUUACCAUGCAGCAGGCGGUGAUCGGCAACCAGCGGUGUCAAGUAACUCCGAAUAUUGAGUAAAGCGAUUGCCAGGGGAGCGUACGUAUACACGGUGUAGAAAUAUGUGGAGCUAGGUUGGCUAUAUAUGGUAGCAAAAGAUUAGCAAUAAUCAAUUCAAAGAUGCAAUGUUGAAUAAACGGCUCAAUGACGAUACUGUGCUGGUCCUAGGCUAGACCGGACUAGAGACGCGAGCCUAGAACACUAAUGAGGUCACGGCGUAGCACAACUAGCAUCAAUGAAGGAUACUAAGUAGCUCUUGACAGCAAGAUAUAAGUGAAGAUCACAACGGCAGUGAAGAUAAUGAUGAAAAACAACUGCCAAGCAGGAUAUACAACAACUCUCUCUCCAACUUUCCUCUUGAAAAGUUUGAGACAAUUUUCUGAUAAAUUCUUUCAAAGAAUGCUACUAACUCAAGCUUUCCAAUGCAAAAGGAAUCACUCAAUUCCGAGUUAAUAUGAGGAGUCAAAGAAUUCUAAAACUGGCCUGAAAAAUUGGAACAAGCUGUGUUCACGAACUUCGGAGGGCAAAAAGACCUAUUUAGAAGCCGAUUUUGAGGUGUCAAAUAUUGAACUAGCUUCUGCAACUAUUUAGAUGCGUCUCGUCGCUAGCUUCAAUUUGAGUACUCACGGAGCAAAAACUGACUUCGUAUGAGGAAGAUACACCUGUUUUACUGAACAGUGCGCAAAACAGAUUCCAAUCCGAAUUCAGGUACGAGAUUGAUUCUAGAUAGAUCCAAUUUUUUUUCUCACGCCUUUUUUUUCUUUUUCUUCUCCCUCUUUUUCUUUUUUUUUCUUUCCUUUUUUCUCUCUUUUUUUUCUUUAUCUUCUUUUUCUCCCUCUUUCCAAGACAAACUAGAUAAGAUGCAGAUUCGAUCAGGAGAAGAUGUGAGUGACCUCAACUAUGAUUAUGACAAUAAACAGUGUGUAGCAUAUGGUGGAAAUUGGUGGAUGGGAUGGUGGACAGCGGAUGGGAUAAUGAUGCAGCGGCUGCGUGACUAAUGUGAACAGAACUCGAAACUCUAAAGGAACUAGACACUAAGACCAGCAACUCGACAUGGCGAUGCAACCGAUAAUUCAAUAAUGCAAAAAAUGAAAAGAAAAUUGUAAAGGCUCAGUCUGGCUAGGACAAAGGAUGAAUAGAUCUAACUUUUGUUUUGUGGCUUUUUCUUGGACAAUAGGUAAGAAAAUAAAUCUAAUCUAGGAAAACUGGAAAUUCUCACCGAGCAACCUGAAAACUGAUACCACUUGAUAGAGGCGAGGGUCCCGAUCUUUCGAUGAGAUGAUAACUAUCGAUUUGGUGGAGACGACUUUGACGAUCCGACUACAAACGUGCACGACAUUGCGCCUUAGCAACCGCUAAACCAAUCUCCUGAGGUUACUGACGAUGCUGGAAGCACGGUCAGCCUGACCACGAAGGUCUAUUCCUGCAAGCAAUCGAAGAACGAGCAAGAAUAUGAUAAAGCAAUCUGAAUAUUGCAAAUAUAUAUGAAGUAUUGAUAAUGGUGGGGAUCCGGAGGCGGUCUUGGUCUGGUCGUUGGACACAAACGAAGUACACGAAGUUGCAAUGGCUAACUUUUAACUAAACAAAUCCCAAGGAAAAGCUACUAGAUGGAUCUACUUAUAUAGGAGCAAGGGUCAAAAACUCUCAAAGCUUGGAUAGAGCGAUUACCAGGGAGAGUCAAACGCACGACGUAGAUGUAUGUGGAGCUGGGAAGGCUUAUAAUAUGGUAGCAAAAAGGGUCAGCAAUAAUCAAUUCAGAGAUGCAAAGUUGAAUAAACGCUCAACGACGGUACUGUGCUGGUCCUAGGCUAGACUGUGCUAGAGACGCGAGCCUAGAACACCAACAAAAUCACGGCGCGGCACGUAAACUAGGGAGGAGCACACUCUGAAUUUUUUUUUCUCUUUUUUUUGCACUUUUUUUUCCUCUUUUUUUUUUUGCUCCGCAACAAUUUUUUUUCGAAAAAGUCUACAAAUAGUCUAAAAACUGCCUAGCCAGAAUUUUCCAGGAUGGCUCAGAAGUUGGGGAGUCCUUCUCUGUCACGACUCGGAGUGUCGCGUGAUCUGGAAAUCGAGAACAAUGCAACAAUUACUGGACUCGGACUAGGACUGGUGGCGGAGAUGAAUCUGGUGGAACUCGGACUGGUGGCGGAGAUGAAUCUGGUGGAACACGGACAGGUGGCGGAUAUAUGUUGCAGGUGAACUCGGAUUGGCGUGAUGGCGGCGGAUAUGUGGUGGCGUAUAUGGAUUCGGAUUGGCGGUGAAUAUGUGGUGGUGGUAUAUGGCAACAGCGACGAUGAUGAUGCGGUGGUGAUAUAUGGCAGCGGCGACGUGACAACCUGUGAACAGAACUCGAAACUCUAAAAGACUAGACGCUAAGACCAGCAACUGGACACGACGAUGCAACCGCAAAUUCAACAAAGCAAAUACAGAAAAGAUUAUGCAAGGCUCAGAUUGGUUCGGAUGGGAUGAACUAACCCUAAUUUUUUUUGGCUUUUUCGUGGACUAUAGGUAUGAAGAACAGACUCGAUCUAAACUACGAAAAACUGUAAAAUCUCACCGAGCAACCUGGAAAUCUGAUACCACUUGAUAGAGGCAAAGGUGUCCCGUCUUUCGAUGAGAUGAUGGAUAUCGCUUUGGUGGAAGUCGACUUUGACGAUCCGACUACAAACGUGCGAGGACGUCGCGCCUUAGCAAUCGCUAAACCAACUCCGAGAGGUUAUUGACCACGCCGGAGCACGAUCAGCCUGACCACGAGGGUCUGUUUCCUGCGAGCGAACGAAGAACAAGCAAGAAACUAAGAUUGCAAUCUGGAUAUUGCGAAUAUAAGAUGAAAGCUUUAUUGAUCAAGGUGGGGUUUUGUGACGCCUUUGUCUGGUCGUUGAACACAAACGAAGUACGCGAAGUUGCAGCUAUGGCGAACUUUUAAUCUAAACAAAACCCAGAGUCUAAACGGUGCCCUAAGGGCUGUAUAUAUGGAGGAAGAGAGGGGGAAUUUCGUGGCCCUUGGUGGAGGGGUCCGAAAUCAACCCUAUCUCUUGUUUCCCCACACAUACGGACUCUAAAAAUAGCCUAUACUUAUGUAUUUCGAAAUUACAUGGGCCUGGCCCAAUAAAAAGGUGACGCAGCACCUAUAAUAGCCUCGGGACGAAAUUUAUGAAGUGGCAUCUUGUAUAUUUCGUCCAAGGCUUCAUGCACCCAUUAUGGUGGCUUCAAAGUCCUGAAAUCAUCACUUAUAACUCCGUUCUUGUUCCCCUUGCGCAUGCCAUCAUCUCCAUGCUUGUUCUUGCUCCAAUGUUCAUCCUUCUCCAAGCUAGGCCCUUCAUUUGUAAGCAAAACAAAUGUAUCCAAUUUAGGCAGCAUCAUAUUCUCAUGAACAUUAGAAUCAUUACCAAGAAACGAAAGUACCUGGUAAUUUAGUUGGCGUGCACGAGCUCUAGUAAUUGGUCCAGUAUGUAUAGCAGCAGGGGCUGUGGGUGUAACAAUUGUAUUGAUGUCCUCAUCACGGAGUACCUUCAAAUUCAGCCUUAAGCAGGACUUUUUGGCCCUCAAAGUCAAAGAACAUCAUUCGUCGUUGUUUUUCAGACAAGUUUCUGAACCCAUUGGCACUUCCUUUUGAAGGAAAUUCGAGAGAUUAUGUUCUUAUAGACACUAGCCCCCCUGAUAGGGACAAACGUACCUUUCUGCAGAUGCUCUAUGAUCCGGGCAAUCUCAUUUGGCCGUAAAUUGAAGAAAAUCCAAAGGCUAUAUGCCUUAUUCUCCUUGUUUUCGCCGGAUGGCAUGCUGUAACUCAUGCGCGAACGAAAGGGCAUUCCUGGCAUCGGUCAAUAUGUAUGUGGAAACGAUAUCUCCUCUAUAGAGGACAAGAAAUUUUGGGGCAAUCAGGCAAAAAGCGCACGAGAAAAUGAAGUACUUUCAAGGACUGCCAUAGAAUGGACAAAUGUUCACUAAAACGGUCAUAAUUUUGUCAUUCGGGUCUGUGUCGGACCCAUAAGUACUCAAACUGCUCGCGGCGAGAGCGUGAAUCCAAAAAAUAUUCACCGCUUGCGCCAGGAGGCCUGGAGUACCCACAAAUUCAGCCUUAAGCAGGACGUUCUGGCCCUGGAAGUCAAAGAACAUCAUUCGUCGCUGUUUUUCAGACAAGUUUCUGAACCCAUUGGCACUUCCUUUUGAAGGAAAUUCGAGAGAUUAUGUUGCUUAUAGACAUUAGCCCCCCUAGUAGGGACAAACGUACCUUUCUGCAGAUGCUCUAUGAUCCGGGCAAUCUCAUUUGGCCGUAAAUUGAAGAAAAUCCAGCGGCUAUAUGCCUUAUUCUCCUUGUUUUCGCCGGAUGGCAUACUGUAACUCAUGCGUAUGAAAGCCAAGAACAAAAGGGCAUUCCUGGCAUCGUUCAAUAUAUGUGUGGAAACGAUAUCUCCUCUAUAGAGGACAAGAAAUUUUGGGGCAAUCACACAAAAAGCACACGAGAAAAUGAAGUACUUUCAAGGACUGCCAUAGAAUGGACAGAUGUUCACUAAAACGGUCAUAAUUUUGUCAUUCGGAGCCCGUGUUGGACCCAUAAGUACUCAAACUGCUCGCGGCGAGCACGCGAAUCCAAAAAAUACUCCCCGCUUCCUCCAGGAGGCCCGGAGUACCCUCAAAUUCAGCCUUAAGCAGGACUUUUUGGCCCUCAAAGUCAAAGAACAUCAUUCGUCGCUGUUUUUCAGACAAGUUUCUGAACCCAUUGGCACUUCCUUUUAAAGGAAAUUCGAGAGAUUAUGUUGCUUAUAGACACUAACCCCCCUGAUAGGGACAAACAUACCUUUCUGCAGAUGCUCUAUGAUCCGGGCAAUCUCAUUUGACCGUAAAUUGAAGAAAAUCCAAAGGCUAUAUGCCUUAUUCUCCUUGCUUUCGCCGGAUGGCAUGCUGUAACUCAUGUGCGUGAAAGCCAUGAACAAAAGGGCAUUCCUGGCAUCGGUCAAUAUAUAUGUGGAAAUGAUAUCUCCUCUAUGGAGGACAAGAAAUUUUGGGGCAAUCAGGCAAAAAGCGCACGAGAAAAUAAAGUACUUUCAAGGACUGCCAUAGAAUGGACAAAUGUUCACUAAAACGGUCAUAAUUUUGUUAUUCGGAGUCUGUGUCGGACCCAUAAGUACUCAAACUGCUCGCGGCGAGAGCGUGAAUCCAAAAAAUACUCACCGCUUGCGCCAGGAGGCCUGGAGUACCCACAAAUUCAGCCUUAAGCAGGACUUUUUGGCCCUGGAAGUCAAAGAACAUCAUUCGUCGUUGUUUUUCAGACAAGUUUCCGAACCCAUUGGCACUUCCUUUUGAAGGUAAUUCGAGAGAUUAUGUUGCUUAUAGACAUUAGCCCCCCUAGUGGGGACAAACGUACCUUUCUGCAGAUGCUCUAUGAUCCGGGCAAUCUCAUUUGGCCGUAAAUUAAAGAAAAUCCAGCGGCUAUAUGCCCUAUUCUCCUUGUUUCUGCCGGAUGGCAUGCUGUAACUCAUGCGCGUUAAAGCCAAGAUGAUGUAGGGUGGAACCCUAUAGCGUCGAUCUUUCACGUUUGGAGUGGAUCCUAUGGGGAAUCACGAAGAACACGCGGAAGCACAAAGGGAAAACACGGGGAAAAUGAGGGAGAAUCGCUAAACCGACAAGGAAUCAAUCACACAAGUGCUAGAUCGAAGAACACAAAGAGGUACAUGAGAUCCAAAGUGAUAGAGGCGGGGUGUCCCGAUCUUUCGAUGAGAUGAUAACUAUCGAUUUGGUGGAGACGACUUUGACGAUCCGACUACAAACGUGCACGACGUUGUGCCUUAGCAAUCGCUAAACCAACUCCGAGAGGUUAUUUACCAUGCCGGAGCACAAUCAACCUGACCACGAAGGUCUAUUCCUGCAAGCAAUCGAAGAACAAGCAAGAAUAUGAUAAAAGCAAUCUGAAUAUUGCGAGUAUAUAUGAAGUAUUGAUAAAGGUGGGGAUCCUUAAGCGGUCUUGGUCUGGUCGUUGGACACAAACGAAGUACACGAAGUUGCAAUGGCUAACUUUUAACUAAACAAAUCCCCAGCAAAAAGCUACUAGAUGGAUCUACUUAUAUAGGAGCAAGGGGUGGCGGCCAAGGAGGUGGGAGGACGCCCAAGGCAGCCUAAAACUAAAUCUAGGUCGUACAAGGCCAAUGGGCCCAAGUGGAGGUGAUGUAACACCUUUGGACUUGUAGUUUGACUCGGAUUCUGCUGCAGCAUCAGAUUGUUUCGUCCACAACUCAACGCUCCGGACGAAUUUGAAGGUGAUUCCAAUUGGGUUGGAAAGUGCACGAAAUCUAGUUUCCAACAAAAAAAGAAUCACCCAAUUCGGAGUCCGUAUGAAAAACUUGUGUGCGAUUUGAGUCGGGUAUGUCUGUGCAGUCCGAAUCUGAAUCCAGAACGUGAGAGACUUGGACUCUAUCUUCUCUUGGGCCAAAAGUGACGUGAGAGAACUUUUUGGACAGCAAAUAAACAUCUCUUUCUUCCUUAUCUUCAUAUGUGGAUUGUACAAAUGUCUCAUACACCUGCAAUUAGACAAAACACAAAAGUGUGUGAAGUAUUUUUGUUCUGGAUAACAUAAAUAGAUUAUUGAAUAGUUUGCACUAGAAAUCACCUGACAAAUAUGCAUAUAUGCAAUAUUUUUGAUCAUAUCCAAGGUAGUCAUGUCCUCAUCAUCCUCCCCUUCUUGAAAAUAAAGCCGUCCUCGGCGUUGCUUAAUCAGAAAUGUGGCUAACAAAAGAGACAAGGUGUACAUGUUGUAUAUGUAUAUGUCAUCCAUUUUUACUUCCCUUGAUUUUUGCAUAUAUGACACAUGAAUAGAUGAGUAACUUGCAUAGUUCAUAAAAUCUAAAGCCAAAAAAUUAGCACAAGAAGUAGAAGGCAUGAAAAUAUUGCAACUCAGUUUGCACAUAUAAGUGAAACUCUUAUUCAUUUCAAAAGAUUGACAAUGUUCAUCAUUAAACCAUCCCAACAUUGGUGAAUAAACCUUACUUGCAUCAAAUUUACAUGCUACAACAUGCUUAAAUAAGCAAACAUGCAAUAAGUCAUUCAACACAGAAUCAUCACCAAGAUUAGAGGUCAUAUCAAAGUGAUUAAACAUUGGUUCUUUUGCAUCAAUAGUUAAUUCAAUGGGUGCACUCAAAAUUGUUGGUAUUUCAGUUGUUUGAUCACAUGGCAAAGUCAAAUUAUCAACGUAGUCCUCUAAAAUAGGUGGUGUGAUCAAAGUAGUGGGUAGCUCAUCAGAUGGUGCAUUCAAAUUGACAAGGCAUUCAUCAUUCUCAUGUAGAGAUGGAAGAUCAGUACCUUUGUCAUUACCUCUUAUGAUCAACUCAGAUGAUGUAGCCACUCUCGAGGGCGAUGUGUCACAUGGUGGAGGUGAUGUAGUCCUGACAACAACGGAUGUGGUUGUCAUAGUAUGCCUAGUAGUUGAAGGAACAAUCAUAUCAACUCUUGGAAUGUGCACCGUGCGCUUGUUCUCCUCGUGGCCAACACGUCGUUUUAUUUCCUGUUCAACUUUGCAAGCAAGAUGAAACAAAUGGUCCAUAGGAUAACACUCUUCAUGAAUUAGUAUCUCUUGAAUAUCACGGUUUAAUCCUCCCCAAAAUCUAUCCAUAAAAUCAUCUUCACUUUCUUCUAAAGAGGAAUGCAACAAGGUAGUUUGUAAAUCAUCAUAAUAUUUUGUUACAGUUUCACUACCUUGUUUUAAGUGUUGCAACUUCUUAAUCAUGUCACGAGUAUAAUAAGUAGGGACGAAAGUAUGUCGCAUGGCAAGUUUCAAAUCAUCCCAAGUAGUAGGUAUAUAAUCAGGGUGUAACCGACAAUAUUCACUCCACCAAACCAAAGCAUAACCAGUGAAAGAACCAACCGCAAUUUUAACCUUUUUAUGUUCAUUGAAAUUAUGGGAAGCAAAUAUAUUUUUUAUGUCGAACUCCCAUUCAAUAUAUAAAGCAGGUUUAAAAUGGCCAUUAAAUGGUGGUAUAGAUACAUUAACCUGAUCAUGUGCAUUUGGAUGUUUGUGCACCUCUCGUGACGGUUGUGGUAUUUGCAAAGGUGGUGGCACGUCUCCCGCGAUCGACAAAGCGCAUGAAUUGACUCUGGAUCCUGUCAUGAUUACUAGAACAAGAAACAAAACCCAAAAAUAAUGUUCCUAUAACUACUAGGAUGUGGUGGUAAAACGCUCACAGUAAAGCAAAUAUCAAUGUCUUACAAGUUCUUACCAUGCAGCAGGCGGUGAUCGGCAACCAGCGGUGUCAAGUAACUCCGAAUAUUGAGUAAAGCGAUUGACAGGGGAGCGUACGUAUACACGGUGUAGAAAUAUGUGGAGCUGGGUUGGCUAUAUAUGGUAGCAAAAAAUUAGCAAUAAUCAAUUCAAAGAUGCAAUGUUGAAUAAAUGUUCAACGACGGUACUGUGUUGGUCCUAGGCUAGACCGGACUAGAGACGCGAGCCUAGAACACUAAUGAGGUCACGACAUAGCACAACUAGCAUCAAUGAAGGAUACUAAGUAGCUCUUGACAGCAAGAUAUAAGUGAAGAUCACAACGACAGUGAAGAUAAUGAUGAAAAACAACUGCCAAGCAAUACAACAACUCUCUCUCCAACUUUCCUCUUGAAAAGUUUGAGACAAUUUUCUGAUAAAUUCUUUCAAAGAAUGCUACUAACUCAAGCUUUCCAAUGCAAAAAGAAUCACUCAAUUCCGAGUUGAUAUGAGGAGUCAAAGAAUUCUAAAACUGGCCUGAAAAAUUGGAACAAGCUGUGUUCACGAACUUCGGAGGGCAAAAAGACCUAUUUAGAAGCCGAUUUUGAGGUGUCAAAUAUUGAACUAGCUUCUGCAACUAUUUAGAUGCGGCUCGUCGCUAUCUUCAAUUUGAGUACUCACGGAGCCAAAACGGACUUCGUAUGAGGAAGAUACACCUGUUUUACUGAACAGUGCACAAAACAGAUUCCAAUCCGAAUUCAGGUACGAGAUUGAUUCUAGAUAGAUCCAAUUUUUUUUCUUCUCUCUUUUUUUUUCUUUUUUUUUCUCUUUUUUUUCUAUCUUUUUUUUUCUUUUCAAGACAAACUAGAUAAGAUGCAGAUUGGAUCAGGCGAAGAUGUGAAUGACCUCAACUAUGAUUAUGAAAAUGAACAGUGCGUAGCACGUGGUGGAAAUUAAUAGAUGGGAUGGUGGACAGCGGAAGGAAUAAUGAUGCAGCGGCGGCGUGACUAAUGUGAACAGAACUCGAAACUCUAAAGGACCUAGACGCUAAGACCAGCAAUUGACACGACGAUGCAACCGAUAAUUCAACUAUGCAAGCAAUGAAUAGAAAAUUGGACACAAACGAAGUACACGAAGUUGCAAUGGCUAACUUUUUUUUGUGUGGCUUUUUCUUGGACAAUAGGUAAGAAAAUAAAUCUAAUCUAGGAAAACUGGAAAUUCUCACCGAGCAACCUGAAAACUGAUACCACUUGAUAAAGGCGGGGGUCCCGAUCUUUCGAUGAGAUGAUAACUAUCGAUUUGGCGAGGAUGACUUUGAUGAUCCGACUACAAACGUGCACGACGUUGCGCCUUAGCAAUCGCUAAACCAACUCCGAGAGGUUAUUGACCACGCUGGAGCACAAUCAACCUGACCACGAAGGUCUAUUCCUGCAAGCAAUCGAAGAACAAGCAAGAAUAUGAUAAAAGCAAUCUGAAUAUUGCGAGUAUAUAUGAAGUAUUGAUAAAGGUGGGGAUCCGUAAGCGGUCUUGGUCUGGUCGUUGGACACAAACGAAGUACACGAAGUUGCAAUGGCUAACUUUUAACUAAACAAAUCCCCAGGAAAAGCUACUAGAUGGAUCUACUUAUAUAGGAGCAAGGGGUGGAGGCCAAGGAGGUGGGAGGACGUCCCAAGGCAGCCUAAAACUAAAUCUAGGUCGUACAAGGCCAAUGGGCCCAAGUGGAGGUGAUGUAACACCUUUGGACUUGUAGUUUGACUCGGAUUCUGCUGCAGCAUCAGAUUGUUUCGUCCACAACUCAACACUCCGGACGAAUUUGAAGGUGAUUCCAAUUGGGUUGGAAAGUGCAUGAAAUCUAGUUUCCAACAAAAAAAGAAUCACCCAAUUCGGAGUCCGUAUGAAAAACUUGUGUGCGUUUUGAGUCAGGUAUGUCUGUGCAGUCCGAAUCUGAAUCCAGAACGUGAGAGACUUGGACUCUAUCUUCUCUUGGGCCAAAAGUGACGUGAGAGAACUUUUUGGACAGCAAAUAAACAUCUCUUUCUUCCUUAUCUUCAUAUGUGGAUUGUACAAAUGCCCCAUACACCUGCAAUUAGACAAAACACAAAAGUGUGUGAAGUAUUUUUGUUCUGGAUAACAUAAAUAGAUUAUUGAAUAGUUUGCACUAGAAAUCACCUGACAAAUAUGCAUAUAUGCAAUAUUUUUGGUCAUAUCCAAGGUAGUCAUGUCCUCAUCAUCCUCCCCUUCUUGAAAAUAAAGCCGUCCUCGGCGUUGCUUAAUCUGAAAUGUGGCUAACAAAAGAGACAAGGUGUACAUGUUGUAUAUGUAUAUGUCAUCCAUUUUUACUUCCCUUGAUUUUUGCAUAUAUGACACAUGAAUAGAUGAGUAACUUGAAUAGUUCAUAAAAUCUAAAGCCAAAAAAUUAGCACAAGAAGUAGAAGGCAUGAAAAUAUUGCAACUCAGUUUGCACAUAUAAGUGAAGCUCUUAUUCAUUUCAAAAGAUUGACAAUGUUCAUCAUUAAACCAUCCCAACAUUGGUGAAUAAACCUUACUUGCAUCAAAUUUACAUGCUACAACAUGCUUAAAUAAGCAAACAUGCAAUAAGUCAUUCAACACAGAAUCAUCACCAAGAUUAGAGGUCAUAUCAAAAUGAUUAAACAUUGGUUCUUUUGCAUCAAUAGUUAAUUCAAUGGGUGCACUCAAAAUUGUUGGUAUUUCAGUUGUUUGAUCACAUGGCAAAGUCAAAUUAUCAACGUAGUACUCUAAAAUAGGUGGUGUGAUCAAAGUAGUGGGUAGCUCAUCAGAUGGUGCAUUCAAAUUGACAAGGCAUUCAUCAUUCUCAUGUAGAGAUGGAAGAUCAGUACCUUUGUCAUUACCUCUUAUGAUCAACUCAGAUGAUGUAGCCACUCUCGGGGGCGAUGUGUCACAUGGUGGAGGUGAUGUAGUCCUGACAACAACGGAUGUGGUUGUCAUAGUAUGCCUAGUAGUUGAAGGAACAAUCAUAUCAACUCUUGGAAUGUGCACCGUGCGCUUGUUCUCCUCGUGGCCAACACGUCGUUUUAUUUCCUGUUCAGCUUUGCAAGCAAGAUGAAACAAAUGGUCCAUACGAUAAAACUCUUCAUGAAUUAGUAUCUCUUGAAUAUCACAGUUUAAUCCUCCCCAAAAUCUAUCCAUAAAAUCAUCUUCACUUUCUUCUAAAGAGGAAUGCAACAAGGUAGUUUGUAAAUCAUCAUAAUAUUUUGUUACAGUUUCACUACCUUGUUUUAAGUGUUGCAACUUCUUAAUCAUGUCACGAGUAUAAUAAGUAGGGACGAAAGUAUGUCGCAUGGCAAGUUUCAAAUCAUCCCAAGUAGUAGGUAUAUAAUCAGGGUGUAACCGACAAUAUUCACUCCACCAAACCAAAGCAUAACCAGUGAAAGAACCAACCGCAACCUUAACCUUUUUAUGUUCAUCGAAAUUAUGGGAAGCAAAUAUAUUUUUUAUGUCGAACUCCCAUUCAAUAUAUAAAGCAGGUUUAAAACGGCCAUUAAAUGGUGGUAUAGAUACAUUAACCUGAUCAUGUGCAUUUGGAUGUUUGUGCACCUCUCGUGACGAUUGUGGUAUUUGCAAAGGUGGUGGCACGUCUCCCGCAAUCGACAAAGCCCAUGAAUUGACUCUGGAUCCUGUCAUGAUUAGUAGAACAAGAAACAAAACCCAAAAAUAAUGUUCCUAUAACUACUAGGAUGUGGUGGUAAAACGCUCACAGUAAAACAAAUAUCAAUGUCUUACAAGUUCUUACCAUGCAGCAGGCGGUGAUCGGCAACCAGCGGUGUCAAGUAACUCCGAAUAUUGAGUAAAGCGAUUGCCAGGGGAGCGUACGUAUACACGGUGUAGAAAUAUGUGGAGCUGGGUUGGCUAUAUAAGGUAGAAAAAGAUUAGCAAUAAUCAAUUCAAAGAUGCAAUGUUGAAUAAACGCUCAACGACGGUACUGUGCUGGUCCUAGGCUAGACCGGACUAGAGACGCGAGCCUAGAACACUAAUAAGGUCACGGCGUAGCACAACUAGCACCAAUAAAGGAUACUAAGUAGCUCUUGACAGCAAGAUAUAAGUGAAGAUCACAACGGCAGUGAAGAUAAUGAUGAAAAACAACUGCCAAGUAGGAUAUACAACAACUCUCUCUCCAACUUUCCUCUUGAAAAGUUUGAUACAAUUUUCUGAUAAAUUCUUUCAAAGAAUGCUACUAACUCAAGCUUUCCAACGCAAAAAGAAUCACUCAAUUCCGAGUUGAUAUGAGGAGUCAAAGAAUUCUAAAACUGGCCUGAAAAAUUGGAACAAGCUGUGUUCACGAACUUCGGAGGGCAAAAAGACCUAUUUAGAAGCCGAUUUUGAGGUGUCAAAUAUUGAACUAGCUUCUGCAACUAUUUAAAUGCGGCUCGUCGCUAUCUUCAAUUUGAGUACUCACGGAGUCAAAACGGACUUCGUAUGAGGAAGAUACACCUGUUUUACUGAACAGUGCGCAAAACAGAUUCCAAUCCGAAUUCAGGUACGAGAUUGAUUCUAGAUAGAUCCAAAUUUUUUUCUUCUCUCUUUUUUUUCUCACGCUUUUUUUUUCUUUUUCUUCUCCCUCUUUUUCUUUUUUUUCUUUCCUUUUUUCUCUCUUUUUUUUCUUUAUCUUCUUUUUCUCCCUCUUUCCAAGACAAACUAGAUAAGAUGCAGAUUCAAUCUGGCGAAGAUGUGAGUGACCUCAACUAUGAUUAUGACAAUAAACAGUGCGUAGCACGUGGUGGAAAUUGGUGGAUGGGAUGGUGGACAGCGGAUGGAAUAAUGAUGCAGCGGCUGUGUGACUAAUGUGAACAGAACUCGAAACUCUAAAGGAACUAGACACUAAGACCAGCAACUCGACACGACGAUGCAACCGAUAAUUCAACUAUGCAAGCAAUGAAAAGAAAAUUGCAAAGGCUCAGACUGGCUUGGACCAAGGAUGAAUAGAUCUAACUUUUGUUUUGUGGCUUUUUCUUGGACAAUAGGUAAGAAAAUAAAUCUAAUCUAGGAAAAACUGGAAAUUCUCACCGAGCAACCUGAAAACUGAUACCACUUGAUAGAGGCGGGGUGUCCCGAUCUUUCGAUGAGAUGAUAACUAUCGAUUUGGUGGAGACGACUUUGACGAUCCGACUACAAACGUGCACGACGUUGUGCCUUAGCAAUCGCUAAACCAACUCCGAGAGGUUAUUUACCAUGCCGGAGCACAAUCAACCUGACCACGAAGGUCUAUUCCUGCAAGCAAUCGAAGAACAAGCAAGAAUAUGAUAAAAGCAAUCUGAAUAUUGCGAGUAUAUAUGAAGUAUUGAUAAAGGUGGGGAUCCUUAAGCGGUCUUGGUCUGGUCGUUGGACACAAACGAAGUACACGAAGUUGCAAUGGCUAACUUUUAACUAAACAAAUCCCCAGCAAAAAGCUACUAGAUGGAUCUACUUAUAUAGGAGCAAGGGGUGGCGGCCAAGGAGGUGGGAGGACGCCCAAGGCAGCCUAAAACUAAAUCUAGGUCGUACAAGGCCAAUGGGCCCAAGUGGAGGUGAUGUAACACCUUUGGACUUGUAGUUUGACUCGGAUUCUGCUGCAGCAUCAGAUUGUUUCGUCCACAACUCAACGCUCCGGACGAAUUUGAAGGUGAUUCCAAUUGGGUUGGAAAGUGCACGAAAUCUAGUUUCCAACAAAAAAAGAAUCACCCAAUUCGGAGUCCGUAUGAAAAACUUGUGUGCGAUUUGAGUCGGGUAUGUCUGUGCAGUCCGAAUCUGAAUCCAGAACGUGAGAGACUUGGACUCUAUCUUCUCUUGGGCCAAAAGUGACGUGAGAGAACUUUUUGGACAGCAAAUAAACAUCUCUUUCUUCCUUAUCUUCAUAUGUGGAUUGUACAAAUGUCUCAUACACCUGCAAUUAGACAAAACACAAAAGUGUGUGAAGUAUUUUUGUUCUGGAUAACAUAAAUAGAUUAUUGAAUAGUUUGCACUAGAAAUCACCUGACAAAUAUGCAUAUAUGCAAUAUUUUUGGUCAUAUCCAAGGUAGUCAUGUCCUCAUCACAAAGUCAACAAAGGUAAGGAUAGAAAGGUAACCGAUCUUCUCCGUGAGGAGGCCUUGAAUCCACAAGGGGAUCUUCCCACGAGGGGGUCUUGAAUCCGAUAGGAUCUACUCCGAAGAGGCCGCGGUCUCUCACGAGGAGGAGAUCCGAUGGAUGAGCGAAGCUCUAUCUCUAACUUGAGCUAAAUCAACGCUAAACCUAACUAGGAGGAGGUGGAGGAGUAUAUAUAGUCUAGAGCCACGAAGGGGUAAGUGAGGCGAAGGGGUACACGUGCUCGGCCCAAUACACUGUGCGCAGACAGGACGGUUGUACCAGACAUGUGGCCGGUUGUACCGCUGUUAACUCGUUCAGGGUGGAAGUACCGGUCAGACGGGGCAGUAGUUCUGCUCGAAGCCCAGGCGCUGGCUUCAGGAGGUGUACGCCGAAGGCGCAGCAGUUGUUCCGGUCAUCGGGGCGGUUGUUUCGGUCUUUUGGCAGGAACCGGUAAAACCGGUGUAGCACCGGCCUUGCUCUGCUCGAUCACAGAAGGUGGACCGGUUGUUGGGCGGUAGUCGGCCGGUUGUUCCUCUCGGGCGGUGGUUGGGUGGUUGUACCGGUCGGGUGGCUUCAAUGGUAGUACCGCCUGGAGUGGGCGGUAGUACCGCUCGUUCUGGAGCGGCCGGGUUCUCUUCCUCCUUCUCUUCCAUGCUUGGCCUCGGUCCUUGGAUUCUCCAUGGUCGUCUCGGUCGUACCUGAGUAUAUGCCAGAUCCAUGCAUGAGGUAGUAGCCAUGUCUCACAUGUAGAAAGUGAAGGUUCGGAGAGGAGCGAGUUCACCUUGUGUCCAAUGGUGUAUAUUCGAGGUCUCGUCAUAUGUCCUCUUGGGGCUUGGAGAGUAGUCAGAGUGUACAUGGGGAUGAACGUGGGAUGCUCCGCAUCAUCUGCCCCCCCCCCUUGUGAAAGAUCCGACCUCGGAUCGUGAUCCUCAUCACCAUGGAAACUGUUGUCGUGGACGGACUUGUAGUUGGAUGAAGUUGAAGACAUGGUGCAAUCCAAGUAGUCCAAGGUGUCGCCGAAAUGAUAGACAUGCAAAAAGAGCAAACACAAGCAACACUCGGAAAUGCAAUGGUUAGCGCACACAAAGUGUCCAUCAUGUAAGAAUGAGUCCGUGCGGCAAGAUUGGUCGUGACAAAGCGCAUGAAGCUUAUCAAGAUGAUCUAGAAUGAGAUGCAAAGUAUUCAUGGGAGGAAAAACAAUCAUUGUGUACACAAAUGUGUUAGGAAUAUUAGCAAUGCAACCGCAAUGCAAAAUGAUGUCAUAAUGGGAUGGUUUAUCAAAUGCAUGAACAUGGCAAUAAAUGCUCAACAUGUGGAUAUUAUCAUGCAAUUGACGGUCGGCAAUAUGAUCAUUAUGUAUGAAUAUGCCAUCAAGGUAGAUCACAACAAAUUUGCUAAGGAAGUGCACAAGCUCAUAUAUCAUGGAUGUCAUGGAAAUAGAUGCAACAAGACAAGCAUAAUUUGAGUCAAUCCAUGCAUAGCGUGCAAACUUGUGGUGAGUAUGAUAUGUCCAUCGAUGAUGAGGACAUCAAUACAAUUGUUACACCCACAGCCCCUGCUGCUAUACAUACUGGACCAAUUACUAGAGCUCGUGCACGCCAACUAAAUUACCAGGUACUUUCGUUUCUUGGUAAUGAUUCUAAUAUUCAUGAGAAUAUGAUGCUGCCUAAAUUGGAUACAUUUGUUUUGCUUACAAAUGAAGGGCCUAGCUUGGAGAAGGAUGAACAUUGGAGCAAGAACAAGCAUGGAGAUGAUGGCAUGCGCAAGGGGAACAAGAACGGAGUUACAAGUGAUGAUUUCAGGACUUUGAAGCCACCAUAAUGGGUGCAUGAAGCCUUGGACGAAAUAUACAAGAUGCCACUUCAUAAAUUUCGUCCCGAGGCUAUUUUAGGUGCUGCGUCACCUUAUUAUUGGGCCAGGCCCAUGUAAUUUCGAAAUACAUAAGUAUAGGCUAUUUUUAGAGUCCGUAUGUGUGGGGAAACAAGAGAUAGGGUUGAUUUCGGAUCCCUCCACCACGGGCCACGAAAUUCCCCCCCUCUUCCUCCAUAUAUACAGCCCUUAGGGCAUCGUUUAGACUUUGGGUUUUGUUUAGAUUAAAAGUUCGCCAUAGCUGCAACUUCGCGUACUUCGUUUGUGUUCAACGACCAGACAAAGGCGUCACAGAACCCCACCUUGAUCAAUAAAGCUUUCAUCUUAUAUUCGCAAUAUCCAGAUUGCAAUCUUAGUUUCUUGCUUGUUCUUCGUUUGCUCGCAGGAAACAGACCCUCGUGGUCAGGUUGAUCGUGCUCCGGCGUGGUCAAUAACCUCUCGGAGUUGGUUUAGCGAUUGCUAAGGCGCGACGUCCUCGCACGUUCGUAGUCGGAUCGUCAAAGUCGACUUCCACCAAAGCGAAAUCCACCAUCUCAUCGAAAGACGGGACACCUCCGCCUCUAUCAGCGGUACCCUAAAGAAAAGACACAUCUUUCUUUGUAAGCUCAUUGAGAGGUGCAGCAAUGGUGCUGAAAUCUCUCACAAAACGCCUAUAGAAUCCAGCGAGGCCAAGAAAACUCCUCACUUGUGUGACCGUUUUGGGCUGCGGCCAACUCUCAAUAGCUUCAAUCUUGGCUUUAUCAACUUCAAUUCCCUGUGGAGUAACAACAUAGCCAAGAAAAGAUACUCGGUCGGUGCAAAAGGUGCACUUCCCAAGGUUACCAAACAAACGUGCAUCACGUAGAGCAAUAAAAACAGCACGUAAAUGUUCCAAAUGUUCUUCCAAAGAUCUGCUAUAAAUCAAUAUGUCAUCAAAGUAAACUACCACAAAUCGUCCAAUGAAAGCACGUAAAACUUCGUUCAUUAAUCUCAUGAAAGUACUAGCUGCAUUAGUUAACCCAAAAGGCAUGACUAACCACUCAUAUAAUCCAAACUUAGUUUUAAAUGCUGUUUUCCAUUCAUCUCCCAAUUUCAUACGAAUUUGAUGGUAGCCACUACGCAAAUCAACUUUGGAGAAUAUUGUAGAGCCACUCAAUUUAUCAAGCAUAUCAUCUAGCCUAGGAAUAGGAUGACGAUAACGAAUAGUAAUAUUAUUAAUGCCUCUACAAUCAACACACAUACGUGAUGUACCAUCCUUUUUCGGCACUAGAAUAAUAGGAACAGCACAAGGACUAAGGGAUUCGCGUAUAUAACCUUUGUCGAGAAGCUCUUGUACUUGACGCAUAAUCUCCUUCGUCUCCUCUGGAUUGGUACGGUAUGGUGCACGGUUUGGCAGUGAAGCACCGGGAAUUAAGUCGAUCUGAUGCUCAAUCCCUCGAAUAGGCGGUAAUCCCGGUGGCACGUCUUGUGGAAAAACGUCAGCGAACUCCUGCAAAAUGUUAGUGACAGCAGGAGGCAAAGAGGAAGGCACGUCCUCGAAUGAAAAUAAUGCCUCUUUGCACACAAAAGCAUAGCAAACAGAUUUGCUGAAAUCUAGCUCAUCAAUAUCAGAUUUGGUGGCAAAUAAACAUGCACUUUGCAAUUUAAUUUCAGAAGCAACACUAGAUGGUUUAUUAUUAGGCUUCAUUUGUUGCUCAAAUUCUUUUGCCACAAUCUGAUUUUCACUCUUAUUCUUCUCCUGUUGUGCUUUAUUAGCUCUAUUAAUAUCAUCUUUCAAAAUGGAAUCAGGGGUCAUAGGAAGCAAAGUAAUAUUUUUAUCCUUAUGAACAAGAGUAUAGUGAUUGUUUCUACCAUGGUGUACAGAAUUUUUAUCAAAUUGCCAUGGUCUACCAAGUAAUAAGGAACAUGCUUGCAUAGGUACCACAUCACAAUCAACAUAAUCAGCAUAUGUAGAGAUACUAAAAUGCACACGAACAGUACGUGUUACCUUAACCUUGCCGCUGUUGUUGAACCAUUGGAUGUAGUAAGGAUGUGGAUGUGGUCUUGUGGUGAGAGAAAGCUUCUCCACCAUCUCCAUGCUAGCCAAGUUGUUGCAGCUCCCUCCGUCUAUGAUGACGCGCACAGAACGUUCCUUCACAACUCCCUUGGUAUGGAACAAAUUGUGCCUCUGAUUUUGCUCAGCUUGUGUGAUCUGCACACUCAAAACACGUUGAGCAACUAAACAUUCAUACCUGUCAGCGUCUUCAGGAGCCAUGUAUUGCGUCUCAUGAUCAGAAUCAUCUCCACCAUGUUCUUCACGUGUAAUAAGAGCCAAAGUCUGAUGAGGACAUCAAUACAAUUGUUACACCCACAGCCCCUGCUGCUAUACAUACUGGACCAAUUACUAGAGCUCGUGCACGCCAACUAAAUUACCAGGUACUUUCGUUUCUUGGUAAUGAUUCUAAUAUUCAUGAGAAUAUGAUGCUGCCUAAAUUGGAUACAUUUGUUUUGCUUACAAAUGAAGGGCCUAGCUUGGAGAAGGAUGAACAUUGGAGCAAGAACAAGCAUGGAGAUGAUGGCAUGCGCAAGGGGAACAAGAACGGAGUUACAAGUGAUGAUUUCAGGACUUUGAAGCCACCAUAAUGGGUGCAUGAAGCCUUGGACGAAAUAUACAAGAUGCCACUUCAUAAAUUUCGUCCCGAGGCUAUUUUAGGUGCUGCGUCACCUUAUUAUUGGGCCAGGCCCAUGUAAUUUCGAAAUACAUAAGUAUAGGCUAUUUUUAGAGUCCGUAUGUGUGGGGAAACAAGAGAUAGGGUUGAUUUCGGACCCCUCCACCAAGGGCCACGAAAUUCCCCCCUCUUCCUCCAUAUAUACAUCCCUUAGGGCAUCGUUUAGACUUUGGGGUUUUGUUUAGAUUAAAAGUUUGCCAUAGCUGCAACUUCGCGUACUUCGUUUGUGUUCAACGACCAGACAAAGGCGUCACAGAACCCCACCUUGAUCAAUAAAGCUUUCAUCUUAUAUUCGCAAUAUCCAGAUUGCAAUCUCAGUUUCUUGCUUGUUCUUCGUUUGCUCGCAGGAAACAGACCCUCGUGGUCAGGUUGAUCGUGCUCCGGCGUGGUCAAUAACCUCUCGGAGUUGGUUUAGCGAUUGCUAAGGCGCGACGUCCUCGCACGUUCGUAGUCGGAUCGUCAAAGUCGACUUCCACCAAAGCGAUAUCCAUCAUCUCAUCGAAAGACGGGACACCUUUGCCUCUAUCAAGUGGUAUCAGAUUUCCAGGUUGCUCGGUGAGAUUUUACAGUUUUUCGUAGUUUAGAUCGAGUCUGUUCUUCAUACCUAUAGUCCACGAAAAAGCCAAAAAAAAUUAGGGUUAGUUCAUCCCAUCUGAACCAAUCUGAGCCUUGCAUAAUCUUUUCUGUAUUUGCUUUGUUGAAUUUGCGGUUGCAUCGUCGUGUUCAGUUGCUGGUCUUAGCGUCUAGUCUUUUAGAGUUUCGAGUUCUGUUCACAAGUUGUCACGCCAUCGCCGCACCAUCAUCAUCGCCCCUGCCAUCUACCACCACCGCUCCGAAUCCGUAUCCAUAUACCACCACCAAUCCGUGUCCAUAUACCACCACCGAUCCAUAUCCAUAUACUACCACCGCUGCCAUAUACCACCACCAUAUAUCCACCACCAAUCCGUGUUCCUUGCUUAUUAGGUUUGUUUUCGGGAUCAAUCUAGAUUCCGAUUCGUAUUUCCUUGCCGGAGUAGGUUUCGGAAAAAAAAAGAGUCGGGUAGCCACGCUCCGUUUAGGCCCAAAAUUUUUCGAAAACGCAUUUUUCGAAAAAAUUUCUGGCUAUCCUAUUUUUAGGUGUUUCUGAGUGUUUUGAGACAGGUGCCAUUAUAGAAAGUUUUUUUUGACCCGUUUCCAGUUUUUGGGUCCGGNNNNNNNNNNNNNNNNNNNNNNNNNNNNNNNNNNNNNNNNNNNNNNNNNNNNNNNNNNNNNNNNNNNNNNNNNNNNNNNNNNNNNNNNNNNNNNNNNNNNNNNNNNNNNNNNNNNNNNNNNNNNNNNNNNNNNNNNNNNNNNNNNNNNNNNNNNNNNCAGAGUGUGCUUUUCCCUUGUUUACGUGCCGCGCCGUGAUUUUGUUAGUGUUCUAGGCUCGCGUCUCUAGCACAGUCUAGCCUAGGACCAGCACAGUACCGUCGUUGAGCGUUUAUUCAACUUUGCAUCUCUGAAUUGAUUAUUGCUGACCCUUUUUGCUACCAUAUUAUAAGCCUUCCCAGCUCCACAUACAUCUACGUCGUGUGUUUGACUCUCCCUGGUAAUCGCUCUAUAAAAGCUUUGAGAGUUUUUGACUACAACGGUUGCCGAUCACCGCCUGCUGCUGGGUAAGAACUGGUAAGAAUUUGAGAUUUGCUUGACGGAUUUGUGACACCCACCACCACCACUUGUUCGUAGUCUGUAGGAUCAUAUUCUUGUGUGUUUCUAUUGCUGUUAACCAUGCCAGGAUCACAAGCCGACGAGAUUGACUGGGAGAAUUUAUCGAACAAGGAGCUUCAUGAUAAGUUUCAGCAAAUGAUGACUGAACAGGUGCAAGAUGUGCUGAACAAUUUUGAAGAAGCCAUGGAGAAGAUCACUGGCUUUGAGAAGACGUUCGAAACAAAGCUCGAUAACAAGUUUAAUGAAUUGCUCGCGCGUCUUCCACCACCACCACCCGCUGCAGCUAACGCACCUCUCCAACAACAACAACAACAACGACUACCUCCACGUCGCGAAGCAGACCUCCGCCGAGCAAGCCGUGUUCCUCUUGCGUUUGGCCAAACUGUUGGUGCUGCUGUUGAUACUUCUGUGGCUCCUGCUGCUGAUGUGGAGGAGGAUGAUUAUGUGGGAGACUAUGAGGAUGAGGUUGAUCAAAAUCAACACUACGUGCAGCCACCUGUACCACCACCAGCAGGUCGACCUCAGGUAUAUAUUCGUAAUGGUAGGCCUGCACCACCACCUCAGGUACGAGAUGAUGUCCAUAUUCCUAAACUGAAAUUGAAUAUUCCACCAUUUGAGGGUAGAUAUGUUCCUGAUAUAUAUCUUACUUGGGAGUUAGAAACUGAACAACAAUUUACAUGUUUACAAUAUCCUGAGGAGAGACGAGUUGCUGCUGCUGUUUGUGCUUUCACUAGUUUUGCAUGUGUAUGGUGGUCUGAACAUUGUAGAUUAUAUCCUAUUCCAACUACUUGGGCUGCUUUGAAAACUGCUAUGCGUACGCGUUGGGUUCCACCAUAUUAUCAACGUGAAUUGCUUCAAAAAUUGCAGCGUUUAAGACAAGGGAAAAAUUCUGUAGAAGAAUAUUAUCAGGAAUUACAAACUGGCAUGAUUAGAUGUGGUAUUGUUGAGGAGAAUGAAGCUAUGCUUGCACGUUUUCUGGGUGGAUUAAAUAGAGAGAUUCAGACCAUUCUAGACUAUAAGGAGUAUACUAAUGUCACUCGUUUAUUCCAUCUUGCUUGUAAAGCUGAACGCGAAGUGCAGGAUCGACAAGCAUUGGGGCGAACUAACUUUUCUGCAGGCCGACCUUCAUCAUGGACACCACGUGCAUCUUCUACUUCAACUGCACCAGCACCUCCAUCCGGUGCCACCUCCAGCCGUGAUACAAGAAAACAGGCACAACCACCAUUAUCUGCCAAGAGCGCACCUGCGGGGCCUGCACAGCGUUCUUCUUCUUCCAUGGCAUCAACAGGGCACACAAGUGAUAUUAUUUGUCGUCGUUGUAAGGGAGGAGGUCAUUAUGCGAGGGAAUGAAAAUCUCCGCGUGUGAUGAUUGCUACCGCGGAUGGUGGAUAUGAGUCCGCUAGUGACUAUGAUGAGGAGACAUUGGCUCUUAUUACACGUGAAGAACAUGGUGGAGAUGAUUCUGAUCAUGAGACGCAAUACAUGGCUCCUGAAGACGCUGACAGGUAUGAAUGUUUAGUUGCUCAACGUGUUUUGAGUGUGCAGGUCACACAAGCUGAGCAAACUCAGAGGCACAAUUUGUUCCAUACCAAGGGAGUUGUGCAGGAACGUUCUGUGCGCGUCAUAAUAGACGGAGGGAGCUGCAACAACUUGGCUAGCAUGGAGAUGGUGGAGAAGCUUUCUCUCACCACAAGACCACAUCCACAUCCUUACUACAUCCAAUGGUUCAACAACAGCGGCAAGGUUAAGGUAACACGUACUGUUCGUGUGCAUUUUAGUAUCUCUACAUAUGCUGAUUAUGUUGAUUGUGAUGUGGUACCUAUGCAAGCAUGUUCCUUAUUACUUGGUAGACCAUGGCAAUUUGAUAAAAAUUCUGUACACCAUGGUAGAAACAAUCACUAUACUCUUGUUCAUAAGGAUAAAAAUAUUACUUUGCUUCCUAUGACCCCUGAUUCCAUUUUGAAAGAUGAUAUUAAUAGAGCUAAUAAAGCACAACAGGAGAAGAAUAAGAGUGAAAAUCAGAUUGUGGCAAAAGAAUUUGAGCAACAAAUGAAGCCUAAUAAUAAACCAUCUAGUGUUGCUUCUGAAAUUAAAUUGCAAAGUGCAUGUUUAUUUGCCACCAAAUCUGAUAUUGAUGAGCUAGAUUUCAGCAAAUCUGUUUGCUAUGCUUUUGUGUGCAAAGAGGCAUUAUUUUCAUUCGAGGACGUGCCUUCCUCUUUGCCUCCUGCUGUCACUAACAUUUUGCAGGAGUUCGCUGACGUUUUUCCACAAGACGUGCCACCGGGAUUACCGCCUAUUCGAGGGAUUGAGCAUCAGAUCGACUUAAUUCCCGGUGCUUCACUGCCAAACCGUGCACCAUACCGUACCAAUCCAGAGGAGACGAAGGAGAUUAUGCGUCAAGUACAAGAGCUUCUCGACAAAGGUUAUAUACGCGAAUCCCUUAGUCCUUGUGCUGUUCCUAUUAUUCUAGUGCCGAAAAAGGAUGGUACAUCACGUAUGUGUGUUGAUUGUAGAGGCAUUAAUAAUAUUACUAUUCGUUAUCGUCAUCCUAUUCCUAGGCUAGAUGAUAUGCUUGAUGCAUUGAGUGGCUCUACAAUAUUCUCCAAAGUUGAUUUGCGUAGUGGCUACCAUCAAAUUCGUAUGAAAUUGGGAGAUGAAUGGAAAACAGCAUUUAAAACUAAGUUUGGAUUAUAUGAGUGGUUAGUCAUGCCUUUUGGGUUAACUAAUGCACCUAGUACUUUCAUGAGAUUAAUGAACGAAGUUUUACGUGCUUUCAUUGGACGAUUUGUGGUAGUUUACUUUGAUGACAUAUUGAUUUAUAGCAGAUCUUUGGAGGAACAUUUGGAACAUUUACGUGCUGUUUUUAUUGCUCUACGUGAUGCACGUUUGUUUGGUAACCUUGGGAAGUGCACCUUUUGCACCGACCGAGUAUCUUUUCUUGGCUAUGUUGUUACUCCACAGGGAAUUGAAGUUGAUAAAGCCAAGAUUGAAGCUAUUGAGAGUUGGCCGCAGCCCAAAACGGUCACACAAGUGAGGAGUUUUCUUGGCCUUGCUGGAUUCUAUAGGCGUUUUGUGAGAGAUUUCAGCACCAUUGCUGCACCUCUCAACGAGCUUACAAAGAAGGAUGUGCCUUUUGUUUGGGGAACCGCACAGGAAGAAGCCUUCACGGUAUUGAAAGAUAAGUUGACACAUGCUCCUUUACUCCAACUUCCUGAUUUUAAUAAGACUUUUGAGCUUGAAUGUGAUGCUAGUGGAAUUGGAUUAGGAGGUGUGUUAUUACAAGAUGGCAAACCUGUUGCAUACUUUUCUGAAAAAUUGAGUGGGCCUAGUCUGAAUUAUUCUACUUAUGAUAAAGAAUUAUAUGCUCUUGUUCGGACUUUAGAAACAUGGCAACAUUAUUUAUGGCCCAAAGAAUUUGUUAUACAUUCUGAUCAUGAAUCUUUGAAACAUAUUAAAAGUCAAGCUAAACUGAAUCGUAGACAUGCUAAAUGGGUUGAAUUCAUUGAGACUUUCCCUUAUGUCAUUAAACACAAGAAGGGAAAAGAAAAUGUUAUUGCUGAUGCAUUGUCUCGUCGCUAUACUAUGCUUUCACAACUUGACUUCAAAAUAUUUGGUUUGGAGACCAUCAAAGAUCAAUAUGUGCGUGAUGCUGAUUUUAAAGAUGUAAUGCAUAAUUGUAAAGAAGGAAGAAUGUGGAACAAGUUUGUCGUUAACGAUGGAUUUGUGUUUCGUGCUAACAAGCUAUGCAUUCCAGCUAGCUCCGUUCGUCUUUUGUUGUUGCAGGAGGCGCAUGGAGGAGGAUUAAUGGGACACUUUGGCGUGAAGAAGACGGAGGACGUACUUGCUACACAUUUCUUUUGGCCAAAGAUGAGACGGGAUGUUGAGCGUUUUAUUGCUCGCUGCACUACAUGUCAAAAAGCUAAGUCACGCCUCAAUCCUCAUGGUUUAUAUAUGCCUUUGCCUGUACCUAGUGUUCCUUGGGAGGAUAUAUCUAUGGACUUUGUUUUAGGUUUACCUCGAACAAAGAAGGGGAGGGAUAGCAUAUUUGUUGUCGUGGAUAGAUUCUCGAAAAUGGCACACUUUAUACCAUGUCAUAAAAGCGAUGAUGCUAUUAAUGUUGCUGAUUUGUUCUUUCGUGAAAUUAUUCGCUUGCAUGGUGUCCCAAAUACUAUUGUUUCAGAUCGUGAUACUAAAUUUCUUAGCCACUUUUGGAGAUGUUUAUGGGCUAAGUUGGGGACUAAACUGCUUUUUAGUACUACUUGUCACCCCCAAACUGAUGGACAAACUGAAGUAGUCAAUAGAACGUUGUCUACUAUGCUUAGGGCUGUUUUGAAGAAUAAUAAGAAAAUGUGGGAGGAAUGCUUGCCUCAUAUUGAAUUUGCUUAUAAUCGUUCAUUGCAUUCUACUACUAAGAUGUGCCCUUUUAAAGUUGUGUAUGGUUUCCUACCUCGUGCACCUAUUGAUUUGUUGCCUCUUCCAUCUUCGGAGAAGGUUAAUUUUGAUGCUAAACAACGUGCUGAAUUGAUUUUAAAAAUGCAUGAGUUAACUAAGGAAAACAUUGAGCGCAUGAAUGCUAAAUAUAAACUUGCUGGAGAUAAGGGUAGAAAACAUGUUGUGUUUACACCUGGAGAUCUUGUUUGGUUACAUUUGCGUAAGGAUAGAUUUCCUGAUUUGCGCAAAUCAAAGUUAAUGCCACGUGCUGAUGGUCCCUUUAAGGUGUUAGAGAAAAUAAAUGAUAAUGCAUAUAAACUUGAGCUGCCUGCAGAUUUUGGGGUUAGUCCCACUUUUAACAUUGCAGAUUUGAAGCCUUAUUUGGGUGAGGAAGAUGAACUUCCGUCGAGGACGACUUCAUUUCAAGAAGGGGAGGAUGAUGAGGACAUCAAUACAAUUGUUACACCCACAGCCCCUGCUGCUAUACAUACUGGACCAAUUACUAGAGCUCGUGCACGCCAACUAAAUUACCAGGUACUUUCGUUUCUUGGUAAUGUGAUGAGGACAUCAAUACAAUUGUUACACCCACAGCCCCUGCUGCUAUACAUACUGGACCAAUUACUAGAGCUCGUGCACGCCAACUAAAUUACCAGGUACUUUCGUUUCUUGGUGAUGAUUCUAAUGUUCAUGAGAAUAUGAUGCUGCCUAAAUUGGAUACAUUUGUUUUGCUUACAAAUGAAGGGCCUAGCUUGGAGAAGGAUGAACAUUGGAGCAAGAACAAGCAUGGAGAUGAUGGCAUGCGCAAGGGAAACAAUAACGGAGUUAGAAGUGAUGAUUUCAGGACUUUGAAGCCACCAUAAUGGGUGCAUGAAGCCUUGGACGAAAUAUACAAGAUGCCACUUCAUAAAUUUCGUCCCGAGGCUAUUUUAGGUGCUGCGUCACCUUAUUAUUGGGCCAGGCCCAUGUAAUUUCGAAAUACAUAAGUAUAGGCUAUUUUUAGAGUCCGUAUGUGUGGGGAAACAAGAGAUAGGGUUGAUUUCGGACCCCUCCACCAAGGGCCACGAAAUUCCCCCCUCUUCCUCCAUAUAUACAGCCCUUAGGGCAUCGUUUAGACUUUGGGUUUUGUUUAGAUUAAAAGUUCGCCAUAGCUGCAACUUCGCGUACUUCGUUUGUGUUCAACGACCAGACAAAGGCGUCACAGAACCCCACCUUGAUCAAUAAAGCUUUCAUCUUAUAUUCGCAAUAUCCAGAUUGCAAUCUUAGUUUCUUGCUUGUUCUUCGUUUGCUCGCAGGAAACAGACCCUCGUGGUCAGGUUGAUCGUGCUCCGGCGUGGUCAAUAACCUCUCGGAAUUGGUUUAGCGAUUGCUAAGGCGCGACGUCCUCGCACGUUCGUAGUCAGAUCGUCAAAGUCGACUUCCACCAAAGCGAAAUCCACCAUCUCAUCGAAAGACGGGACACCUCCGCCUCUAUCAUAAUGAUUCUAAUAUUCAUGAGAAUAUGAUGCUGCCUAAAUUGGAUACAUUUGUUUUGCUUACAAAUGAAGGGCCUAGCUUGGAGAAGGAUGAACAUUGGAGCAAGAACAAGCAUGGAGAUGAUGGCAUGCGCAAGGGGAACAAGAACGGAGUUACAAGUGAUGAUUUCAGGACUUUGAAGCCACCAUAAUGGGUGCAUGAAGCCUUGGACGAAAUAUACAAGAUGCCACUUCAUAAAUUUCGUCCCGAGGCUAUUUUAGGUGCUGCGUCACCUUAUUAUUGGGCCAGGCCCAUGUAAUUUCGAAAUACAUAAGUAUAGGCUAUUUUUAGAGUCCGUAUGUGUGGGGAAACAAGAGAUAGGGUUGAUUUCGGAUCCCUCCACCACGGGCCACGAAAUUCCCCCCCUCUUCCUCCAUAUAUACAGCCCUUAGGGCAUCGUUUAGACUUUGGGUUUUGUUUAGAUUAAAAGUUCGCCAUAGCUGCAACUUCGCGUACUUCGUUUGUGUUCAACGACCAGACAAAGGCGUCACAGAACCCCACCUUGAUCAAUAAAGCUUUCAUCUUAUAUUCGCAAUAUCCAGAUUGCAAUCUCAGUUUCUUGCUUGUUCUUCGUUUGCUCGCAGGAAACAGACCCUCGUGGUCAGGUUGAUCGUGCUCCGGCGUGGUCAAUAACCUCUCGGAGUUGGUUUAGCGAUUGCUAAGGCGCGACGUCCUCGCACGUUCGUAGUCGGAUCGUCAAAGUCGACUUCCACCAAAGCGAUAUCCAUCAUCUCAUCGAAAGACGGGACACCUUUGCCUCUAUCAAUCGAGCAUGACAUGUAUGAGCACAAUCAACAAAUAUGGAGGUGUUUGUGUACCAAAGCUCGAUGUCGAGGCAUGAGUGGAGUUUCGAAGGUGCAUCCAAGAAGUGCGAGCGCUCCUCAAUGUGAAGGUCCAUGUAGCCAAUCUCCAAUGUCGUUCCUCCGUUCACUAGAUGUAACAUGUAGACAACAAGAAGGAAACAACAAUGAAAGAGUGACCCAUCCUAUGUGUAUUUGAGGAUGGCUCAAAGGGAAGGAGUUCACCUCAAGAAAGUUCCCAAAGAUGUUGGAGUCGUACAUCAUGUAUGUCUUCACAUACCCAAUAUGUCGCAUAACGGCACCGCCUUGUGAAUCCUUCAAAAUGAAAGAACAUGACAAACACUCGGAAAAACAAAUGAGGCUAGCGGACAUGCAAAACCUAUCAUUCGAGUGGUAAUAUACCAAACAAGUGUAUGCAUCAUGCUCAUCAUAAGAAGGUACAAGGGAGCAUUUCAUAGUGUGGAGGCAUAUGAUGCAAGAACAACCAAAUACAAGAGGCUCAAGGAAAGAAGUAUGCAUCACAAGUAAGGUGUCAAAGUCUCCGAAAUCAAUAAGCAUAGUAUGGUUGCACUCAAUACAAGUGGAUAUGAAAGAGGCAACUAAUGGACACAAGAGACAAUGAUCAAGAUAUAUCAUGUGAGAGGCAUGAGCAUAUAUGUCAUCAACCCAAGAAAGCAAGUGAUAGUGGAACAUGGGUGAUGCAACCAAGCAAGCAAUCAUAGCAAUCAAGUCAAGCAAGCUAGUAGUGCGAAGAUGCAACAUACUAGAAGGAAUCAUGGCAAGCAUGUCAUGUGUGCAAAUAGUGGGCAUGCAUAAUGGACAUGACAUAGCACAAACAAGGAAGCAAGAUAUGAAGAAAAUAGCAUGAAUGUAUUGGCAAGAGACCAUAUGUAAAUAGCAAUGGGGCAUCAUGACUCUCCCAACACAACAAGCAUCAAUAGCAUGGGGCACAUGAUAAACAUGGCAAUAGCAACAAGGAUCUCCACCAAGCAUGCAAAUACACAUAGGAGUAGCAUAAUGGUGAAUCAUGGGUAGAUGCAAGCAAGGGUCACAAUUGCAUGGCAAAGGCAUAGAAAGAGGCAUAACAUGCAAAGUGAACACAAUAGUAUGGGCAUAAGGUGACAAGUAGUAAAUAGCCCAUAGCCGUGUGAGAGCCAAGUAGAAGAGAUGCGCGUAGUCCUUGCGCGAAUGGAACGGUUGUAAGUUUAGUCCACGGGAUCCCAAAAGAUCGUUGCUCUCAAGAGCUCGUUUCGUCAACUCUUGGGAUUGGGAGGUUGACGAGUAUACAUGAGUACCUUCACAAAACAAAGGCAAAGAGAAAAUUGUGUGUGCAUGGUAUAUGUACACAUCAUCCAUCAUGAUGCGCACGUGCAUGUGUCGGUUAGCACAAAAUAGCCAAUGCUCAAAUAAAUGAGAUGCGUGAUAUAGAAACAUGUCAUCCAUCAUGAGAGGUUUGUUGUUAUGUAUUUCAUAAUGGAGACUCAAAUUGUGUAAUGCAUCAUGAGAAAUAUCUAGAGCAUUGUUAUUCAUGGAAUGCAUAUGGUGAAAACAAUCAUGGAAAUCAUGCAAAGUAUGAAAUGCAUCAAGAUCUCCUAAUAUGUAUGAGGAAACUAUGGGGGUCGCCUCAUGAGCAAGAGUAGAAACAUCACGUGGAGAAUAUUGACAACAUCCAAAACAAUGCAUAUUCGAAAUAAUGUGAUCAUGGCAUGUCAUAGUGGAGGAAUUGCACAAAUCAUGUAAAGGAAGCAUGGCAAUAUCAUCACAUGAAAAACAAAAGCCAAUGACCAUCAUCUCGUCAUCUAUGCCAUGAGUGCAAAUGGGAUUUAUUUUAAUGGGGCAUGCAUAGUUAGUAUGUUGAGAUUGUAAUGAUGCAAUAUGGGAGAUCUCACUCAUAGCAUAUAACAAGUUCAAUGGAUUGUCAAACAUGAUGUGACCAAUAGAAUUUUCACAUGAUAUCCUAUGAAGCAUAACAUCACAACUAGGCAACUCAACAUGCUCAUCAUCAUAUUCAUCAUAAAUAGGCAAGUCAAGGCAUGAAGAAGUCUCACUAGCAUGAAGCAUGGGAAUAGGUGGGUCAACAUCAUGGGAGCAAUCGAUGUCAAGAGCGUCCACUAGUGGGGACAAGAGAAGCACCAUCACCUAUGUUACCUUUGGAGCUCGCUCAUGUGUUGUAGGUGAGGUGUUGAGGAUACACUCGUUGUCAUCUUCAUCUUGAUGGAACCAUGUGGGGUGUGUAUCAUCGUCCACCAUGGCCGUCGGUGUUUCCAUUGGAGGGAUGGACUCGUCGAGGAUAGGCAUGUCGUCAUGUAGGAGACCUAGCACCAAAGAAGAAAACACACUAGGAGUAGAGGUUAAGUCGUUAGAAAUCAUAGUGGCCUCACGUGCCGUGUCAACUACCUCACUCUCUAAGUGUUGUGGUUCACUCACUCCCUCAAGGAUGCUCUCAAUGUCACGUAUGGUGGAGUCACUCAUGUCACUCAUGUGGUGGUGGCUCUCCUCACAUGGCACUUGGGGCAUUUCUUCAUAUGUGGGUGUCGGAGAGAUGUUGGUGUAAAUGUCUCCAUGCGCGGUCGCGUAGCUUGACUCGGAGGAGGAGUCCAAUGUGGGCGCCGUCUUCAUGUUGUUGAAGAGGUUCGUGCUCGUCGCCAUGGUCGAAGGGGAUGGCCCUUGCUCGACCGUCUUGUCACCGUCUUGGUGUUGGAGGCCCAUAUGAUGUGGCACCUCAUAGCUCGUUUCCAUGACCGAAGGGAAUUUCCCAUGCUCGGCCAUCUUCCUUGGGGGGCUUCCAAAGACGGAAGUGUCACCCUCACUUGUAUGUGGUCGCCUUGGACUUGAUGAAGUCAAUGUAGGCGUACACGUGGGAAGUAGGCGAAGAUGCCGUACGUCCAAAGGCGAAGAUGCCUUGAUAGCACUUGGCGAAGAUGCUGAAGUGGUUGUUGUAGCCGUAGCGCCGUCUUGGUGGUGCUCGUCUCGCGAUCUUCUUUUGUGCUUAUGAAGCUUCGACGUGGCGUGAAGUAGGGCUUGUUGGGACUUGUGCAUUUGCGCUUGUCGAGCAUCUUCAUGAUGAUGAUGAUCACGAACGUGAUGGUGGUCGCCAUGUAGAUGUUGACUUGGACGACUUGCGCUUGCAUCUUGUUUGCGCUCCGAAGACUUGUGGCUUGAAUGUCGCUGCCUUGAAGAUGACGAAGGGGAAGUAGACUUGAGCAAGGUCCGAAUCUCCUCCAUCCUUGCAUCUUUCUCCUCUUUAUGUGCGGCAAGCUUCUUGUCGAUGUAGUCCCUUCUCCUUGCUUCGGAGUGAUGAAUGUCGAUGGAGAUGUUCUCGAUGCGCUCUCGCAAUCUUGAUUGUGUGCCUUGCACUUGUCGUUGUAGAUCAAAGAUAGACGCUUUGGUGAUGUAGUUGUUCACGCUGUUUUUGUUGUCGAGGACCGAAGAGGAAAUGCCUUGCCUAUCCAUCACAAGACUCGAGCAAAUAUGAGUGGGAGAAAGAGAAGAACUUAUACCAAUGUACCUUGACCGAUGUUGACAAUGAAUCAAGUUCACUCAAAUGCGGACAAUAAAAUAGCACUAUUGGUACCAAUCCUUGUCAGUUCUCACACCUACACAAGUAAAGCUUAUAGUGGAGCUCGGUGAGGAUAGUGGCACAAAAAUUUAAUGCAAAAUGUUAGCAAGAGUCAAUAAUGUUGAAAGAAAUUCACAAAUUUGCAAGCGAAACAAAUGGACCAAUAGCAAUAUGGGUGGCACACGGAAACGCACACACGGAUAGAUAGAUGGGGUCAUGCAACCAAGGAAUGAGCACAAAAUGUGGAACCCACGGAAAACGCUCAUGUUGCACAACUCAAGAGAGACACUAGCACAAUUGCUCAAUGGGCGGAUACGACACUUGUGCACAACCUAUAAGAUGCAAGAUGGAUAAACUUUCUAUCCCAAGUAUGCUAUGUAUGUAUGGUUCCCGGUGUUUCUCUCAAGAUGAUCCAAGAUGAUCGUAUAUGAAAAUAUUAUGUGCAAUGUGGUAUGAUGCUAUGGCACUUGCUUACAAGCUCUUUGCUCUUUCUCUUUUGCUUAAAAGCUUUAUUUCUUUUUUUUUCUAUGGCCACUUUUGCACAAUGCACAAACCAAGAUAGCAAUUGUGUAUAUGCGGGAACAAAGUUGUGACACAAGAGAUGAUACCUAUAUGAUAUGGUAUGUAUGCAAUGGAUGGUGUAGAUCACUAAUGUGCACAAGUAACGUUGCCGGCACUACUCAAAUGGCUAGUCUCGAUAGGUAAGUAACGCAAAAGUAAGGCUAGGGGUUAUCAAUGCAAUUUGCAAGGGGAAUAUACAAUGGAUUCAUCGAGGUUACCGUCCUUUGUGAUGAUGAGUGGUGGUGUUCUUGAUGUAGAUACCAAGAUGAUGGAACUCGUCCCUAAGUAGCCGAAACACCUUAGGAAACAGAAAAACCGCGAACUCAAAAUCUCAAAUGACAAAUGUCAAAUGGUGGUAGCGGAAAGCGGUGGUGGUUUUGCACUAGGCAACGCGGAAGUGGGAUGAUGGGCAAAACACGUGUCGGAGUUGAAGUUGUCGUCCCUAAGUAGCUGAAACACCUUAGGAGACACAAGCCACAACUCAAACAAAAUUGGGUUAAGUUGGGGUAGAAAUGUAUGGUGGGCACGUCUAUGCGGAAGUGGUAGUGGUGGUUGAUGAAGAAGCGAUUGUCCCUAAGUAGCCGAAACACCUUAGGAGACUCGAAUCACUACUCAAGCAACCACUAAUGGUAAGGGCUAGGUUGAGCUUGUUUGAGUUCAUCAAGAUGGGUUAGGUUGCGGAAGUCGGUGGUGACUAUGCGGAUGAUAUGGUGGAGGGCCUAGGCAAACUUGCCAAAUUUUCGAAAAUUUUAUGGAGUCAAAUGAUGUUGGUGGUAUUUUUGUGGGAUGUGGGAUGUCAAUAGCUUCAAAACGAGCUAAAGAACGUCAAAAACGGACUCCUGAUGAAUUAGUUAUGGGCAAAACGGUGAAACUCGGAACGCUGAAACUGGGAGGGGCGGUAGUACCGCUUGGGAGGGCGGUUGUACCGCUCGAGGUUGAUGUGGAGCAUCCCACGUUCAUCCCCAUGUACACUCCGACUACUCUCCAAGCCCCAAGAGGACAUAUGACGAGACCUCGAACAUACGCCAUUGGACACAAGGUGAAUUCACUCCUCUUCGAACCGUCACUUUCCGCAUAUGAGACAUGGUUACUACCUCAAACGGAAACGCUAUGCAUACUCAGGUACCAAGGACUUCACCGUGAAGAAGCUAGGGAGCAAGGAGAACCGGAAGCGGAAGACAUACGUGAAGACGGAGAGGAAAAGCGCCAAGGACCAGACUGGCCGGACGAUCUGGACGGCGGCCCGGAUGAUCCGGACAGAGCCCGGACGAUCCGGACCCCCAUCCGGACGAUCCGGCUAAUUCGACCAAAGACUACAGAAGCCUCCCCCCUGAAGCCGGAUCAUCCGGACCCCGUCCCGGAUCAUCCGGACCAUGCCCGGACGUCCGGACCGCCAGGCGGACAUCCGGCCCUGCGCCUCCACCAGCCGAGUCUUCGGAUCAUCCGGGCCUCCACCCGGACCAUCCGGACCAGCCCGGAUCAUCCGGCUUCGGACCCGGAUCAUCCGGCCAGCGCCUGUGUGCGCGUGUUGGGCUGAGCCCGUGUACCCCUUCGACCCCCUAGCCUAUAAAUAGGACUCCUCCUCCUCCUUUUGAGACUUAGCAUUGGAUUAGCUCAUAUUUGUGAGAGAGCCUUUGCUCAUCCACUUGGAUACUUCUCCUCGGAGAUCAGGACCUCUCCGGAGAAGAUCCCCAAGCGGAUUCAAGACCCCUCUUUAGGGAAGAACAUCAAGGCCUCCUCUUGGAGAAGAACGAUUCCGUUGUAUCCUUUCCCUUUGUUGAUUGUGGAUCAUAUGUUGCUCUAUGUAUUCGAUGAUCUAGCACUUGUGUGAUCGAUUCCUUGUUGGUUGAGUGAUUCUCUCUCGUUUUCCCCCGUGUUUCCCUUUGUGCUUCCGCGUGUUCUUCGUGAUUCCCCGUAGGAUCCACUCCAAACGUGAAAGAUCGACGCUAUAGGGUUCCACCGUACAUCAUAUGGUAUCAUGAGCCACGUUGAUCACGUUUUUGGAGCCCCUACCCCGUGAUUUCUAGCUUGAUUUUGUUGUGUUCGUCCUAAAUCCGAAAAUCCCCACCAAAAAUAACCCCAAAUUUUUUUGUGAUUUGUUGGUUUGAUGAUGUUUUGUUGAUUUUGAUCCGUGGAUUUGCUUGGUUUCAAGUGGAUCUAGCAUUUCCCCAAGUUUCCCCACCUUCCAUCCACGAAAUCCCUCAAAUUUUGCCCGGAAAAUCAUCCAUUUCCGCCCAAAAAUUCGUCCUCGUGAGGAAAUCCCGAGUAGUUUGACCUGCCCGGAUCAUCCGGACCUUCUCCCGGAUCAUCCGGACAUCCCCCGGAUCAGCUGGACGCCCUCCCGAACGUCCGGAUAACCCACGCACCCAGAAAACAGAACCGGAGCUGACGAACCCGGAUCAUCCGGAUGUACACCCGGAUCAUCCGGACCUAGCCCGGAUCAUCCGGACCUCCUCCCGGAUGUCCGGUUAACCCUGACACUGCUUCGGCUGAAAUCUUGUUUUGGCCGUAACUAAUUCAUCCGAACUCCGAUUUUGACGUUCUUUAGCUUGUUUUGAAGCUUUUGACAUCCCCCAUCCCACAAAAAUACCACCAACAUCAUUUGACUCCAUCAUAGUUUCUGAAAUUUGGCAAGUUUGCCUAGGCCCUCCACCAUAUCAUCCGCAUUACCACCACCGACUUCCGCAACCUAACCCAUUUUGUUCCCCAUUGCAUAUGUGGUUGUUUGAGUUGUGAUUAGAGUCUCCUAAGGUGUUUCGGCUACUUAGGGACAAUUGCUUCUUCAUCAACCACCACCACCACUUCCGCAUAAUCUUGCCCACCAUACAAUUCCACCCCAACUUAACCCAAUUUUGUUUGAGUUGUGGCUUGUGUCUCCUAAGGUGUUUCGGCUACUUAGGGACGGCAACUUCAACUCCAACUCGUGUAUAGCCCAUCAUUCCACUUCCGCAUUGCCUAGUGCAACACCACCACCGCUUUCUGCUACCACCAUUUGACAUUUUUCAUUUGAGAUUUUGAGUUUGCGGUUUUUCUGUUUCCUAAGGUGUUUCUGUUACUUAGGGACGAGUCUCCAUCAUCUUGGUAUCUACACCAAGAACACCGCCACUCAUCAUUGCAAAGGACGGUAACCUCGACGACACCUUUGUAUUUUUCCUUGCAAUUGCAUUGUUAACCCCUAGCCCAUUUUGCGUUACUUGCCUAUCGAGACUAGCCAUUUGAGUAUUGCCGGCAACGUGACUUGUGCACACUAGCGGUCUACACCAUCCAUUGCAUACAUACCAUAUCAUCUUGGUAUCAUACCAUCCAUUGUGCCUCAAGUUUGUUCCCGCAUAUACACAAUUGCUAUCUUGGUUUGUGCAUUGUGCAAAGUGGCCAUAGAAAAAAAAAAGAAAUGAAGCUUUUAAGCAAAAGAGAAAGAGAGCAAAGAAGCUUGUAAGCAAGUGCCAUAGCAUCAUACCACAUUGCAUAUAAGAUUGUCAUAUCCGAUCAUCUUGGAUCAUCUUGAGAGAAACACCGGGAACCAUACAUACAUAGCAUACUUGGGAUAGAAGUUUAUCCAUUUUGCAUUUUAUAGGUUGUGCACAAGUGUCGUAUCCGCCUAUUGAGCAAUCGUGCUAGCGUCUCUCUUGAGUUGUGCAACACGAGCGUUUUCCGUGGAUUCCACAUUUUGUGCUCAUUCCUUGGUUGCACGACCCCAUUUAUCUAUCCGUGUGUGCGUUUCCGUGUGCCUUUCAUAUUGCUAUUGGUCUACUUGUUUCACUUGCGAAUUUGUGAAUCUCUUUCAACAUUAUUGACUCUUGCUAACAUUUUGCAUUAAAUUUUUGUGCCACUAUCCUCACCGAGCUCCACUAUAAGCUUUUACUUGUGUAGGUGUGAGAACCGACAAGGAUUGGUACCAAUAGUACUAUUUCAUUGUCCGCAUUUGAGUGAACUUGAUUCAUUUUCAACAUCGGUCAAGGUACAUUGGUAUAAGUUCUUCUCUUUCUCCCACUCAUAUUUGCUCGAGUCUUGUGAUGGAUAGGCAAGGCAUUUCCUCUCCGCUCCUCGACAACAACGACGGCGUGAACAACUACAUAACCAAAGCGUCUAUCUUCGAUCUACAACGACAAGUGCAAGGCACACAAUCAAGAUUGCGAGAGCGCAUCGAGAACAUCUCCAUCAACAUUCAUCACUCCGAAGCAAGGAGAAGGGACUACUUCGACAAGAAGCUUGCCGCACAUAAAGAGGAGCAAGAUGCAAGGAUGGAGGAGAUUAGAGCCUUGAUCAAGUCUACUUCCCCUUCAUCAUCUUCAAGGCGGCGACAUUCAAGACACAAGUCUUCGGAGCACGAAAAAGAUGCAAGCGCAAGUCGUCCAAGUCAACAUCUACAUGGCGACCACCAUCACGUUCGUGAUGCACAUCGUCAUGAAGGGCAAGUAACCUCCAAGCAUCAUGUGCAUGACGACGACGAACGCCUUCGAGCUCAAGCGCGACAACGACACCAUCAUCAUGAAGAUGCUCCACAAGCACAAAUGCACAAGUCCCAACACGCCAAGUCGAAGCUUCAUGAGCAUAAAAGAAGACCGCGAGAAGACCACCACCAAGACGGCGCUACGGCUACAUCAACCACUUCGGCAUCUUCGCCAAGUGUUCUCAAGGCAUCUUCGCCUUUGGACGUACGGCAUCUUUGCCUACUUCCCACGAGUAUGCCUACAAUGACUUCAUCAAGUCCAAGGCGACUACAUACGAGCGAGGGUGACACUUCCAUCUUCGGAAGCCCCUCAAGGAAGAUGGCCGAGUAUGGGAAAUUCCCUUCGGUCAUGGAGACGAGCUACGAGGUGCCACAUCAUAUGGGCCUCCAACACCAAGACGGUGACAAGACGGUUGAGCAAGGGCCAUCCCCUUCGACCACGGCGACAAGCGCGAACCUCUUCAACACCAUGAAGACGGCGCCCACAUUAGACUCAUACUCCGAGUCAAGCUACGCGACCGCGCAUGGAGACAUUUGCACCUACACCUCUCCGACACCCACAUAUGAAGAGAUACCCAAAGUGCCAUGUGGGGAGAGCCACCACCACAUGAGUGACAUGAGUGACUCCACCAUAUGUGACAUUGAGAGCAUUUCCUAUGAGAGGAUGAGUGUGACCACCACUAGCCCCACACAUGAGAGCAUGCAACACAUCCUAUGUGAGGUUGAGAGCCAUUUGAGUGACUCCACCUACCAUACGAGUGAGAGCAUCCUUGAGGGAGUGAGUGAGCCACAACACUUAGUGAGUGAGGUAGUUGACACAGCAUGUGAGGCCACUAUGAUUUCUAAUGACUUAACCUCUACUCCUAGUGUGUUUUCUUCUUUGGUACUAGGUCUCCUACAUGACGACAUGCCUAUCCUUGACGAGUCCAUCCCUCCAAUGGAAACACCGAUGGCCAUGGUGGAUGAUGAUACACCCCCCACAUGGUUCCAUCAAGAUGAAGAUGACAACGAAUGGAUCUUCAACACCUCACCUACAACACAUGAACGACGCUCCAAAGGUAACAUAGGUGAUGGUGCUUCUCUUGUCCCACUAGUGGACGCUCUUGACAAUGAUUGCUCCCAUGAUGAUGACCCACCUAUUACCAUGCUUCAUGCUAGUGAGACUUCUUCAUGCCUUGACUGACCUAUUUAUGAUGAAUAUGAUGAUGAGCAUGUUGAGUUUCCUAGUUGUGAUGCUAUGCUUCAUAGGAUAUCAUGUGAAAAUUCUAUUGGUCACUUCAUGUUUGACAAUCCAUUGAACUUGUCAUAUGCUAUGAGUGAGAUCUCCCAUAUUGCUUCAUUUCAAUCUCAACAUAAUAACUAUGCAUGCCCCGUUAAGAUCAAUCCCAUUUGCAAUUAUGGCAUAGAUGACGAGAUGAUGGUCAUUGGCUUUUGCUUCUCUUGUGAUGAUAUUGCCAUGCUUCCUUUACAUGAUUUACGCAAAUCACCUACUAUGUCAUGCCAUGAUCACAUUGUCCCAAAUAUGCAUUGUUUUGGAUGUUGUCAAUAUUCUCCAUGUGAUGUUGCUACUCAUGCUCAUGAGGAGACCCCCAUAGUUUCCUCGUACAUAUUAGGAGAUCUUGAUGCAUUUCAUACUUUGCAUGAUUACCAUGAUUGCUUGCACCAUAUGCAUUCCAUGAAUAACAAUGCUCUAGAUAUUUCUCAUGAUGCAUUACACAAUUUGAGUCUCCAUUAUGCGAUACAUAACAACAAACCUCUCAUGAUGGAUGACAUGUUUCUAUAUCACGCAUCUCAUUUAUUUGAGCAUUGGCUAUUUUGUGCUAACCGACACAUGCAUGUGCGCAUCAUGAUGGAUGAUGUGUACAUAUACCAUGCACACACAAAUUUUCCUUUGUCUUUGUUUUGUGUAGGUACUCUCAUAUACUCGUCAACCUCUCAAUCCCAAGAGUUGACGAAACGAGCUCUUGAGAGCAAUGAUGACUUGGGAUCCCGUGGACAAUCCUUACCACUGUUCCCUUCGCGCAUAGACUAUGCGCAUCUCUUUUACUUGGCUCUCACACGGCUAUGGGCUAUUUACCACUUGUCACCUUAUGCUCAUUUUCCCGUGUUCACUUUGCAUGUUAUACUUGCUUCUAUGCAUUUGCCAUGCAAUUGUGACCCUUGCUUGCAUCUACCCAUGAUUCACCAUUAUGAUACUUCUAUGUGUAUUUGCAUGUUUGGUGGAGAUCCUUGUUGCUUUUGCCAUGUUUAUCAUGUGCCCCAUGCUAUUGAUGAUUGUUGUGUUGGGAGAGUCAUGAUGCCCCAUUGCUAUUCACAUAUGGUCUCUCGCCAAUACAUUGAUGAUAUUUUGCUCAUAUCUUGCUUUCAUGUUUGUGCUAUGUCAUGUCCAUUAUUCAUGCCCACUAUUUGCACACAUGACAUGCUUGCCAUGAUUCCUUCUAGUAUGUUGCAUCUUUGCACUACUAGCUUGUUUGACGUGAUUGCUAUGAUUUCUUGCUUGGUUGCAUCACCCAUGUUCCACUAUCACUUGCUUUCUUGGGUUGAUGACACAUAUGCUCAUGCCUCUCACUUGAUUUGUCAUAAUCAUUGCCUCUUGUCUCCAUUAGUUGCAUCUCUCAUAUCACCUUGUAUUGAGUGCCAACUUGCUAUGCUUAUUGAUCUUGGAGACUUGGACACUUUACUUGUGAUGCAUGAUUGUUUGAUUGAGCCUCUUGUAUUUGGUUGUUCUUACAUCAUAAGCCUUCAUACUAUGAAAUGCUCCCUUGUCCAUUCUUAUGAUGAGCAUGAUGCAUACACUUGUUGGGUAUCUUACCACACGAAUGAUAGGUUUUGCACUUCCGCUAACCUCAUUUGUUUUUCCGAGUGUUUGUCAUGUUCUUUCAUUUUGAAGGAUUCACAAGGCGGUACCAUCACGCGGCAUAUUGGUUAUGUGAAGGCAUACAAGAUGCGCAACUACAUCAACCUUGUGACACUCUUAAAGGUGAACUCCUUCUCUUCGAGCCAUCCUCAAAUACGCAUAUUGGAUGGGUCACUCUUUCAUUGUUGUUUCCUUCUUGUUGUCUACAUGAUACAUCUCGUGAACGGAAGCACGACAUUGGAGAUUGGCUACAUGGACCUUCACAUUGAGGAGCGCUCGCACUUAUUGGAUGCACCUUCGGCCUUCCACCCAUGCCUCGACAUCGAGCUUUGGUACACCAACACCUCCAUAUUAAUUGAUUGUGCUCAUACAUGUCAUGCUCGAUGGACAUAUCAUACUCACCACAAGUUUGCACACUAUGCAUGGAGUGACUCACAUUAUGAUUGCCUUGUUGCAUCUUGUAUUCCCAUGUCAUCCAUGAUAUAUGAGCUUGUGCAUUUCCUUAGCAAAUUUGUUGUGAUCUUCCUUGAUGGCAUAUUCAUACAUCCUGAUCAUAUUGCCCACCAUCAAUUGCAUGAUAAUAUUCACAUAUUGAGCAUCCGUUGCCAUGUUCAUGCAUUUGAUAAACCGUCUCACUAUGACAUCAUUUUGCACCGUGGUUGCAUUGAUCAUAUUUACAAAACAUUUGUGUGCACAAUGAUUGCAUUUCCUCCCAUGAAUGCUUUGCAUCUCAUUCUAGAUCAUCUUGAUAAGCUUCGUGCGCUUUGUCACGGCCAAUCUUGCCGCACGGACUCAUUCUUGCAUGAUGGACACUUUGUGUGCGCUAACCAUGGUAUUUCCGAGUGUUGUUUGUGUUUGUUUCUUUUGCAUGUAUACCACUCCGGCUACACCUUGGACUACUUGGAUUGCGCCAUGCCUUCCACCUCGCCCAACUACAAGUCCGUUCACGACAACCGUUUCCAUGGUGAUGAGGAUCACGAUCCGAGGUCGGAUCUUUCACAAGGGGGGGGGGGAUAUGAUGCGGAGCAUCCCACUUUCAUCCCCAUGUACACUCCGACUACUCUCCAAGCCCCAAGAGGACAUAUGACGAGACCUCGAACAUACGCCAUUGGACACAAGGUGAAUUCACUCCUCUUCGAACCGUCACUUUCUGCAUAUGAGACAUGGUUACUACCUCAAACGGAAAUGCUAUGCAUACUCAGGUACCAAGGACUUCACUGUGAAGAAGCUAGGGAGCAAGGAGAACCGGAAGCGGAAGACAUACGUGAAGGCGGAGAGGAAAAGCGCCAAGGACCAGAUUGGCCGGACGAUCCGGACGGCGGCCAGGAUGAUCCGGACAGAGCCCGGAUGAUCCGGACCCCCAUCCGGACGAUCCGACUAAUUCGACCGAAGACUACAGAAGCCUCCCCCCUGAAGCGGAUCAUCCGGACCCCGUCCCGGAUCAUCCGGACCAUGCCCGGACGUCCGGACAGCCAGCCGGACAUCCGGCCCUGCGCCUCCACCAGCCGAAUCUCCGGAUCAUCCGGGCCUCCACCCGGACCAUCCGGACCAGCCCGGAUCAUCCGGCUUCGGACCCGGAUCAUCCGGCCAGCGCCUGUGUGCGCGUGUUGGGCUGAGCCCGUGUACCCCUUCGACCCCCUAGCCUAUAAAUAGGACUCCUCCUCCUCCUUUUGAGACUUAGCAUUGGAUUAGCUCAUAUUUGUGAGAGAGCCUUUGCUCAUCCACUUGGAUACUUCUCCUCGGAGAUCAGAACCUCUCCGGAGAAGAUCCCCAAGCGGAUUCAAGACCCCUCUUUAGGGAAGAACAUCAAGGCCACCUCUUGGAGAAGAACGAUUCCGUUGUAUCCUUUCCCUUUGUUGAUUGUGGAUCAUAUGUUGCUCUAUGUAUUCGAUGAUCUAGCACUUGUGUGAUCGAUUCCUUGUUGGUUGAGUGAUUCUCUCUCGUUUCCCCCCGUGUUUCCCUUUGUGCUUCCACGUGUUCUUCGUGAUUCCCCGUAGGAUCCACUCCAAACGUGAAAGAUCGACGCUAUAGGGUUCCACCCUACAUCAAAGGUACUCAGCGGUAGUACCGCUCAGAGGGGCGGAAGUACCGCUCGUGUCGGGAUUUUUCGCAGAUCGACUCGGGGCGCGAUUUUGGGGCGGAAAUGGAUGAUUUCGGGGGCAAAAUUGGAUGGAUUUCGUGGAUAAGAGGGGAAACUUGGGGGAAUGCUAGAUCCACUUGAAACCAAGCAAAUCCAUGGAUCAAAAUCAACAAAACAUCAUCAAACCAACAAAUCACAAAAAAAAUUGGGGGCUAUUUUUGGUGGGGAUUUUCGGAUUUAGGACGAAAACAACAAAAUCAAGCUAGAAAACAGGGGGUAGGGGCUCCAAAAACGUGAUCAACGUGGC
rnacentral:lncRNA from 1 species